AAUGGAACAAACAAGAAGGAGAAUAACAGAAUUUACAGCAAAUGACAAUAAUAAAAUGUAAUUUUAUUUUCUAUUUAUUUACUCUGUAAAUCCGGCUAUAAAAAGCCGUCAAAUGUACCUGCAAAUACUUACGCAUACUGAAUACCAGAAAAGAGUAAUCAAAAGAGAUUAUCAAAAGGUGACCUCCAAUCUGUUAUUUUCCUUUUUUUGUUUCUUUUGAUUUUCUUGCAACUUUAGUAUAAAAACAUGAAGAGGAAAUACCUGAAUCGACGCCGAUGAGAGCCCAAAUAUCUCAGAAGUAUGUAGAUAUGGGCGAGGGUCGAACGGUGUUGAAUUUUUGGUCAUUCUUCAAAUUUCGCUUCAUUUUUUUUGAAAGAAUAGUAUAGAAUUUGAGGUUUUUUAAAGGAAAAAGAAAGAGUAAACUUACCAGAUCUCCAUGGUCUCAGCCUCCGUUGGCAAAAUCUGGCCAUCAUUCGCACACCGUCGGCCACUAAGCAUGAUAGUGGUUCGGCGGCUGUAAGCUAAAUGAACCCUAGUAGAGAGGGUAAUAGCUUUAGGUUUUUUAAUUAAAAGAAUAGGUUAUGCUUUAAAAGAAAGGUUUAAGGGCAGAAUGAAAAACGACACCGUUCAAAAGGGUAAAGGAUCCGUGCAUUGACCCGAGUUGUAGGCCGGAUUCGUGCUCUUUUGCUUAAAAUGGGGAAUUUGCGCGGGUGGUCCUUCUCCUUCGCAUUGAUUUUGGAUUGAGCCUGAUUCACACUUUAUUUGUCUUUUAAAUUUUACCUAGAAUAGGCAUGUCAUGUCAAUUUAGCCCGCACCUAAACGAUGUGUUUUGGGAAUUUGGAUUAUUUGCAUUUUUAAUUCUUUCACAUUCACGCGCAUAGCCCUUUAGUCCCUAUUUCAGUUUCAACAAUUUGUUUUAUUUAUUAAUUAACUCUUUUAAUUUGAUUUUAUUUCAAUUAAGAUCUUUUUUCUCAUUUUAAUUUGUAAAAUAUACUUUGUUUUUUUUUAAUUUUAAAUUUAUCGUUUUAGAAUUUCCUUUUAUAUCAUAUUGUUUUCAAAUUUUGCAUGAUAUUAUGUUCAAAUACUUUUUAUACAUAUAUAGUUUUUGAUAAAAUUAGUUAAGUUUUGUAUACAUUAUUGUUUUCACAUUAUUUUAUGCAAAUAUUUCUUUUUAAAUCUAUUAUAUAUAUUUUCUUCUAAAUUUACUUAUAUAAUUUGUUUCUUUAAGGAUCCUAUUUAAAAUUGUGUAUUUUAUUCAUUUGAAUAUUUUCAUAUAUUAUUAUCUUUAUGUAUGUAUUAUCUAUAUGUAUCAUUAAUCGAAAUCAAUUUGUUUCAUAUAAAAUUAUCUUAUACAUUAUUCAUUUCGAAUUUAUUUUUACACACACACAUAUAUAUAUUGGUACAUAUGUUUGAUUUAUAUACAUCAUUAAACCCAUGUUAUUUUACACAUAUAGUUUUUUUCAUUGUAUACAUAAUUAUGUUUUUAAAAUCUAUUACAUAUAUAAUUCAUGAUAAAAUUAAUUUAAUCUUACAUGCAUUAUUAAUUUCAUGCUAUUUUUUAUAAAUAAUUAUUUCUAAAUCUAUUUAUAUAUAUCUGUUUUGUAAACUUAUUAUAUGUAUUUCCUAAGAUUAUAUCUUAUUAUGUAUUCUUGCUAUCCUUUCAUAUUUUAUAUAUUAUUAAAUUUUCCUUUAUUGUAUAUAUUUUUAACAAAUAUUUUUAACACUUUGUGUGUUAUUUGAUCUAAAAAUUUUCAUUCUAUAAUAAAUAUUUUAAUGAUUACAUAUAUAUCUCUAGUUUAUUUUUACAAAUAGUUUCAAAUUCAUCAAUUCAUAUAUUAUAUGUGUUCAUCAUUAUUUUAAAUUUGUCUUAUACCGUAGUGGUUUUUUAAAAAUUUUCAUUUUGUUUUGUAUAUUUUGUAUGGAUUGUAUUAUAUUAGGCUAUAUAUAUCAUUGUUGUGCUAUUUUUUCCGUUUUUUCAUUGUUAUCUCAAUUGUUCUCCAUACUUGCUUAGAAAGUUGGUUAUAUUUUUUAGGUUAGUUUAUCUAAUUAUUUGUUUUGUUAGUUGAUUAAAUAAGUUAUAUUAUCUUUAUUCAUCAAUUAUCAUACAUGUUAUCCCAUGUUUUCAUUUUUUUCCUUUUGGUUUACAAAUGUCGCUUUAUAAUGUCUAACUCUUUAAAAUCAAUUAUUAAUUGCGAUUUUCAUGUGACAGGUUUUAAAUACUUAUAAUUAAUCGUUCUUGAAACUAACUAUUAUCACGAUGUAAGCAAGUGUACCUAUCGAACAGUAGUAUAGUUUUAGCAAGACCGGAUUGUCAAACCCAAAGGAAGUAAAAGUACUAGUAAUGACUGUCUUUUUAUUAGCCUAAAAAUAUAGGGUUUUUUUAAACUAACUAAUUAUCUAAACUAAGAAUUCGCAGAAAGUAGAAUUGGGGGAUUACUUUUGGAAAACAAUUAAAUUAAGGCAAUACCUAAGGAAAAAUCUACCUGGACUUUACUUGUUAUUCUGGCUCCGAAUCGAACGAUUUAUUCAUUUAACUUGUCCAUAGAGAUCCCUAAGUUAUGUUAUUAUCCCUAUUCAGGACUAAUAACGUCUAAUCCCUAGAUUGAAUAAUUGAGACUUUUCUCUAAUUAACACCCUAGGGUUGCAUUAACUCGAUCUAUAGAUCCCAUUCUUAGGUUUCACUCUAAUCCGGUAAAAUCUUGUCACCCUAUAUCUAGGCGCGCAAUCAACUCUGUUUAAUUAUGGCAAAUGUACUCUUACACAGGGUCUAUUCCUCCUCUGAAUAAGAGCUUAUCUUGAAUCAGUAUCCUGGGAUAUCAAAACAAAUUAAGAACACAUAAUUAAGAACAAGUUAAAUAUUUAUCAUACAAUUUAGAAAAUAAUAACAAGAUUCGUCUUAGGUUUCAUUCCCCUUAGGUAUUUAGGGGAUUUAGUUCAUAACUAAAAAGGAAAACAUCUCAGAAGAAUAAUGAAUACAAAACAUAAAGAAAACCCAAAACUCCUGAAGGGAAAUUGAGGGGAGAUCUUCAGUCUUGAUAGUGAAUCUGGCUUCUGAGAUGGAUCAAUCGGCUUCCCUUGAGGAGUUCCCUACCUUCUUCUCUCUGUAUGCCACUUUCCUCUUCCUCUAGGGUGUAUUUAACCCUCAAAAUUAGCCUUUUUCGAAUUGGACUCAACUUCGGCUCGAUAGGGACACGCUCGUGUGACACACCCAUUGAGUCGUGCUUCGAUUCUGCCAGAUUGACACGGCCAUGUGGUAUGCCCGUGUCAGGAAGUCCAGGCCGCGUUGAUUUCGUACUUUGGCCCAUUUUCUCCAUUUUUGGCUCGUUUCUUAUUCCUUUCGCUCUCCUAUUCUCACCUAAGUAUAAAACAUGAAACUAAGGCAUUAGGAGCAUCGAAUUCAGCAAUUCUAAGGAAAAAUGAUCCAUAAAAUGCAUUAAGCAUGGGGUAAAAAUAUGUAUAAAUUACGGUUUAUCAAAUACCUCUACACUUAAGCAUUUGCUUGUCCAUAAGCAAAAUUCUCAACUUAUAAUCAAAAUAAAUUCUUCUCAACCUAUAAUUUCUAUUGAUAAUAUCUCAAAAUAAUCCACAAGUAAUCAUACAUUGAGAAUUCAACUAAAAGAACAUCAAAGUUUCAAACAUUCCAAGUUGAGCAUUUUAUCCUGAAAACAUAGGUGUCUCUCCUCAUCUAAGUAAUUACCUUUGAUUCAGACUAUCAUAGAGUUUCACAUCCUCACUAAAUAUUCACUCAAAUCACUCGAGAUGUUUAAGGACAAUAAAUGAAGCACUCAAUAGUCAAUAAUGAAAAGUCAUUACCAUAGGCUUGCAUGAAAAUCAAAUCUCCACCACUUAUAAAUUGAGAUGAAACAUCAAUCAAAAGGUCUUUAGAGGGUUAUAAAGCGGCUUGGUUAAGGGGUGCGGUCACAAGCUGAAAGAAAAGGUUAGAAUCGAGAUUGAAUUGAAAGAGUGCCUAACUAGAAAAAUAACUAGUCAUCAAUUGCGUACAACAGAGCUUUUCUCAGAAUAUGUAAUUUAACUUCUUUAGCUCAGAAGAUUACUACUACUAAGAUGUAUACAUUUUUUUUAAGAACACAUAAUUAUAAAGUAAAAUAAAACAUAGCUAAGCAACUAUUUCAAUUCCAAUCUCGACAAAAAUGGGGAUCAAAUUAAUUUAGGGGAUUUCAACAAUAAUGGGAUAAGGGUUAAUAUUAAGGGUAAUACAAGAAAUGGCUUGUUAGCUCAACGAGGUUUACUAAAGGUUAAUCGUGUAGGUAGGAUUUUCAUGGCAUGAGUGGGUUAAUCCUAAGUGUCUUUCUCAUUUUGACAUAUCAAAUCAAAUAGUGUGGUCUUGACAUAUAUAAUCAAGGAAGUUCUUGAAUAACAGUUUCAAUUACUAAUGCACUCAAAGCAAUAAUAAAAGUGAGCAUGAAAGAAUUAAAAGAUGCUCAAAAGGCUCAAAAAUCUCACAAGAAUUAUGGCUUUUUGAUGUUUAAAACUUGUAAAUUCCAACUCAAAGUAAUACCUAAACUUUGGGGAAACAACCUAAAUUUUUAAAUUCUUAAAAAUCAACUUAUCAUGCCUGAUUCUCUAAUGUCUUAAAGUUUAAAAAAUCAAUGCAUAAAUGCCUAUGUUUUAAUUCAAGAUAUAUCAAUCAAGAUCAUAAAUCAAUCAAAAUUUAUCCUAUAUACGAUAUGAGAGCUUUUUAAGAGAACAAGGCAGUCAUUCAGGGAUUUUUCUGAUAGUAAAAUGAAUACCCCCCACUUAAGAUGUACAUUGUCUUUAAUGUACAAAGAUAGAUAUAAGAAUAUAAAAAUAAGAUAGGGAGAGGAGUGAAACUUCCUGAGUGAUGGAUGAAUUUCCUUGAACUGGAGUUUUGGAGAAUAGUUGGCGUGAGGGUGGAGGAGGAUACUCUGGCAGUGGUAGAGGUUCAUUAGUCCAUAAGUCCUGUGCCAAAAGAAUAUUAUAUCUGAAGUUGGUUAUGAUCGUGGUCGAGUAGGACAUGGCAGUCAUGGAGAACCUUUCCCAGUGGAGUUUUGAGUCCCUAUAUGAUGAUGAGCUUUGGAGCUUUUUAUAACUGUGAUAGCUUCAGGAACUCUUUUAGAAAAUAUAUAAGGAAUAAUGAUUACUUGGUAGGAAAUAGCCGGAAUUUAAAAUUUUUGAAUAAAAAUUAUAAAUCCUGAUAAAAAUAAGAUGAAAGAAAAAUAAAAAGUAGUCUUAAAAUAAAAUAAAAAGAAAAACAUAAAAUAAUAAAUAAAUAUUUUUAAACAUCUUCAUCGCUAAAUGGUUCGCGAGGUGGGGGUGGCGAUGAGAUGUGGAGGUGCUGACAAAUCUGUUGUAGAGUAGCAUCAAUGUUGUCAAAUCGUUGAAAACACUGCUGCUCGAAUCGAGUGAGGCACUCAAAGAUGUCAGCAUAUGAAGCUGCCGCAUGAACUGGACGAGAGGUUGGUGGUGGCUAAGACGGUGGGUCCUCAUGCUGUGGGGGGACAUCAUCAGUAAUGUCCUCGAGGGCCUCCUCCUCGGUAGAUUGGACGAGACAAUAUUGAUGAGGGUAGCUUCUUCGUCGCUUUCAACCAUCCUUAUGCUAAGCAUGCUCGAAAAGCUGAAAGUUUGGCUACGGUAGUCUUGCGAGUGCGCGAGCACUCAUAAGAGGGAGAUCGAUAGGUUGCCUGAGGCCCAAGGGUGAUUCCGUGGACUUGGGUUGUGAUUUGGCCAUAUGGGCCGGAAUAGGCUAAAUAGGCCCGAUAGGCUGUUGGGCCCAUAAUAGCCAAAAAUUGAAUGUUGAUGCUAUGUGAUAGGAACUUGUAUGUGAGCAUGAAUAUGAAUGUGACUGGGCCUAAAGGGCCAUAUAAAUGUGAUUUGGGCCUAAUGGGCCAUAUACAUGUGAUUUGGGCCAAAUGGGUCAUAUGAAUAUAAUUGGGCUUAAUGGGCCAAAUACAGGUAUGUGAAAUUGUUUGGGCUUUGUAAGGGGUUUUGGGCCUAGUAUAUGAUAUCUACAUAAGACUUAAUUAAUAUAUUGCGACUGUGGACAAGUCAAAGGGUUAAGGUGUGGCAACGGGUAUAUGCAUGUUUAGGAUUGGAUCUAGGGAGAGCUUGGUACUUAAGCGUCUUAAUGACUCACCUCCUCUUCUCUGGAAUCCUACCUAGUGUAUAAUGUUCAUUCAUCUUAGCUCACGAGACUCGUUAACGGGCCAAGGUAAGUGAAAACCGUAAGGGAAAAUUACCGAAAUGCCCCUAAGGGCAAAAAUGACCAAAAUACCCUUAGGUGUAGAAUGUAAGUAUUAUGGACGUGACAUGCAUACUUAUGAUAUUCUGCUUAGGUUGCAUAUGGGUAGGAAUUAUGGAAUGGAAGAAGUAUAUGAGGAUCGCAUGGUUGCUUGACAAUCGUGGAUUCACCGACGGCUUUUAAAGCCCAAUAUGUAAAUGAAGGUAGUUCUGCAACCAGGCUAACAUGGUGUGUGGGCUGGGUGGGUCGAUAUUUAUAUCCCCACAUGGUGUGUCAGGGGACGGAGCUGGUUUGUAGCGGAUGGAUAAUUCGGAUGAGAUUGCAUUGCAUGAUUGAUGAAUGAUGUUCUUUUUUUUGAAUGCUUGUUUUUGCCGCGGGUUGUACACACUAAGUUUGCGAAAACUCACCCCCCUUUUUUAUUUUAUUUUCAGGUGAUGCUCAGAAAAAGGUUCGAUGUUUGGAGGGACUCUGGGUGGCCGACUAGCAAGAUAAUUUCAGACUUGUUUUUUCUAAGCAUUUAAGUUUUUAUUUCUUUUUAAGUAUAUUUCAGACCAGAUUGUAAUAAGGUUUUCAUUGUGUUAUUAUUACUUAAAUUAUUAUUAUUUUCAUUAUAAUUACGAGAAGUUGAAUGUGGAUUUCUUAAAUUAUAGUAUGUUUUCUACGUUUCCGCAACUAAGUUUUUUUCAAAUGUUUUAAACAAGGCUUCGUAACUGAAAGGUUUCUUUUUAAGUUAAUUAGGGUUUCUUUUAUUUUAUGAAGGGUUUUCAAUAAAAACACGGUUUUCGCUAAAACACUUCAAUGUGACACACCAGAUUCGGUCAUAGCGUCUGGGCUGAGUUUGGGGUGUUACAUUUAGUGGUAUCAGAGCCCAAGUUGUAAAAAUCGAGUUGUGAAGUGAGCCUUAUUACUAUUUGGUUUCUUUUUCCGUUUAAAAAAAUAAUUGGAUCACACUAUUAUGGAAAACAAAAAUCUUGCUGAGCGACACACCGAGUUUCUGCCGUCGAACCUAGUAAGUACUUUUAUUUAUUUAAGUUUAUUUAAAUUGUUAUAUAGUAGAUAGUUAGAGGGCUACUUUAGAUAAUUGUUAGAAAGGAACUAAAGCCCGUAGGAUUUAGAAAUUGUAGAGGAUUUUUGAAAACGAUCUUCUCUUUAAAUAUUUUCAUAAAACAUCGGUGUAAGUAUUAAACUAACUAAAACUUCAUAAAAUUUUAAUCCAGAUAAUACACGAAUCGAUGAUGAGUGCUAGAAGAGGUGCAAGGAGCCGUGGCCAAGGCCGCGAAAGUGUUAGGGCUGAAUCGUCGGCAUCGGGCCAUAUGCCCGAUGUUGGAGUAAAAGAGGCUCCGACCUCACCUGUGGCUGGGAAUGGACAGUAUGAUCGGGCCGCGGGAGAAGAUGCAUUAUCCCAGACAAUGCUGAGGAUUUUGGAAAGGGUCGCUGGGCCCAAUAAUGGGAACGAAAAUCGGGGGUCCAUUCUAGAACGACUUUGAUCGAACGGGGCUGAGAUCUUUAAGGGCAUGGCUGGCGUGUCUCCUAUUGUGGCAAAAUAUUGGUUGGACGCCACUAAAAGGAUAAUGGAGGAUUUGGACUGCUCACAUGAGUAAAAUUUGAAAGGGGCGGUGUUUUUGCUUAGGGAGGAAACCUACCAGUGGUGGUUGACAGUGAAAGAGGGCACCCAACUGAAACGGGUCACCUGGGAGUUUUUCAAAGCUGCAUUCCAAGGGAAUUAUGUGGGGGCAAGCUAUGUGGAUGCUAGGAGGAAGGAGUUCCUGAACUUGACCCAAGGAAACAAAUCGAUGGCGGAGUAUGAGGCAGAGUUUCUACGCCUUAGUAGGUAUGCAAGGGUAAUGGUGGCAAUGAAGUAUGAGCGUUGCGUUAGGUUUGAGGAUGGGCUUAGAGAUAGCCGUAGGGUGUUGAUAGCUCUACAAAGGGAAUGAGUUUUCUCGGAGUUGGUGGAGAAAGCAAAGAUAGAGGAGGAGGUAAAGCGCACUGAGUGCCUAAACCGGGAGAAGGAAAGGGGUAAGAAUAAGAGGGAGGCUGAGACCCCGGGUGUUGGACAAAGGCCUAGGACUAGGGCCAGAAAUAAUGGGCCAAUUAGAGUAGGGCCCCCUGUUGCUAAUCCAGAGGUGCCCCCUUGUGCUGAUUGUGGGAGAAGGCAUGGAGGCGAGUGUUGGAAGAGAAUGGGAACUUGUUUCGCUUGUGCGACUAUGGAGCAUAGGAUCAAGGAUUGCCUUCGAACGCUAAGUCGAGAGCCAGCAGCGGGUCUAGGAGGUGCUCAGCCACCAAGGGGUAGACAGUUGCCACCAAGGGGUCGUGGACAGGCCAGGGGCGGUAAUGGCAAUGGACGUGGACGCGGAGCUCCAGGAAAAAAUACGAGCCAUGCUGAGGCGAGACAGCCAGCUUUGGUUUAUGCUGCUCGUCACCGAGAAGACGGGGAUGCCCCAGAUGUGAUAACGGGUAUGUUUAUUAUAUAUGAGUUACCUUACAGAGCCUUGAUUGACAUUGGAUUGACACAUUCAUAUGUUGCAUGCAAUAAGACUAAGUCUUUGGGUGAUAUGUUUGAGAUUAUUGUGAAUGAGAUGACUGUGAUAAGUCCGUUAGGGCAAUCUGUAGGAGUGAAUAAGAAGUUUAGGGAUGUACUUUUAGUAGCUCAAGGGGUUACCUUUUUAGCAGAUUUGAUGGACCUGCCGUUUAGCGAAUUCGAUGGAUUGGCUGGUAAAGCACCGAGCCACCUAAUUUGACCCUAGUCGGAAAGUGGUUUCGAGACCACAAAACCGAGCCACAAAAAUAAUUAAUUGUUAUAUUUUAUGCUUAUUAUUUAUGAAUAAGUAUGUGUGAAAAUUUCAUGCUUUAAUUUUAUCAUUUGGAUGUGAAAUAAAUAAAAAGGGGCUUAUGUGAAAAAUCUUGAAAAUGUCAUAGGUUAAUUGGUAGUGGCUAAAAAUUGCAUGGUUUGAAGCAUGAGGGACUUGCAUGUCAAACAUUCCUUUUUCUUGGUAGUGGACGGCAAGGAUGGGCAUGAAUGACACAUUUUGGCAUUUUGUAUGUUAUAUUUUAGUUAAAUAAUAUCAAAUAGUUUUAUAAUAAAUCAAGUUAUAAUAUGUCAUAAAUUAUAAGAGGAAUUAAAUAAUUAAAAGGUUGAGAAAAAAACAAAGUUGGGUCUUUUCUUCUCCUCCAUUGCCGUAGCGUAAAGGGAGGGAGGAGAAAGUUUGGUUGCUUUGAUUUUUGGCUUAGAAGAUGGCUAGAAUGAGGUAUGUAUUGAAUGAUUCUUGAAAAUCUAUGCAUGUUUGAGAUGAUUAGUUCAAACUCUACUUAUCCCAUAGAUUAAACUUAGAAUUUUGAGGUUUGAGAUUCGGUCAAUAAGCUUGAAACUCAUAGUAGUUUGUUUUGGUAAGCUUGGUAUACGGAUGAUAGAUGUGUUUUGGUUUUGGUUUGAUAAUGAUGUUAAUGAUGGUGAUUUUCGGUCAUGCAUUAACUUAAAUUGUAAGUAUGAUUUAUGGUAUAAUUUGUGUGAUGGAAUAGUCUUGAGAUUUGGCUUGAUUAAAUGGGUAAAAUGCUAAGUGUUUUAAAGAUGAUGUAAUGGUUAUUUCGGUUUAUGUGAAGUAAAUAUAGAUGAUGGUUAUAAGCUGUUUUAUGAUUUGAUAAUGGUGAUUAAAUCUUGUAGUUAAGUGUUUAGAUAUAUAUAUUAAUAAUGAAUUUAGUUGUACUUGCUAUGUGAGAAAUGUGCAAUGCUAUAGGUAUUUGAUUAUUAGAUAUGGUUAUUUUAAGUUGAUUUGUAAUGGUAUGAUUGCAUUGAUGAAUUGGUUUGGAAAUGGUGGAAAGAAUUGGCUAUUAUGCUUGAUACUAAUGCCGAAUAUGAGAAUGUUGUACUUGAAAAAUGUAGGUGAACAUGACAAGUGUAUUCGGCUUAGGGCAUAAAGGAUAUGAAAAUUUGGUAUUUAUUUUUGAUUGUGUGUGUAUGACCAUGGAUAAUUGGCUGCACAAAUAUUAUGAAUACAUAAUGUAUGUUAAAUUUAUUGAGCUACAAAACAUUAUACAUGAUCGGCCAAUGUAAAUUAUUUGAGUAAAGUAUAUCUUGAUGAUACAUUUCGGCUAGUAUAAAAUGUAUAUGGAUGUCGGAUGGCUAUGUUUAAUUUGGGAAGUAAAUUGUUUGAUUUAGCUCAAGAGCCUAGAGGAUCAAAGUUGAAUAAGGGAAAGGAAAAAGUGAUUGAAUAACCGUCGUAAUCGUUCGGCAACUUCCGAGGUAAGUUUUAAGUGAUUAAACGUUGAGUAAAUUCAAUCAUAAUAGGACAUAAUGAGUUGAUUUAAUAAGAUAUGAUGUGGCCAUGAUAUGUCUUAAACUCAAAUGGUAAGUUCAUAAGUGUUUGGACUUGGAAAUUUAAGAGCAAAUUGUAAUAACUUGCUUAGGACAGCAGCAGUAAUGUGAUUUUAGAAAAUCACUAUAAAUUGUUGGUGUGGAAUUAUAGGCCGAAUAAAAUAUGUAAUCAAAGCUUAAUUAGUCUAGUUUCUUAUAAAAGAGACCGUGUAAGCAAAGAAAUUUCCUAUAAAGAGAUAUUUAAAGUUGUGUGAGACAGUGUCAGAAUGACUCCGAAAUCCCCUGUUUUGUUUUUAGAAAAUCAUUAUAAUUUGUACAAAAAUGGUUAUAAGAUAAAAUUUAUAUUCUUAGACUCCUUAAUGAGUCUAGUUUCAAAUGAAAUCAAAUAGAACAUAUUUUGAAUUCUGUACAAUUAGAAAUUUGAUUCGUAGUGAAGAGUGGUCAGAUUAGUCAAACCGUAAAAUAGGGGAAACUUUAAGAAAAAUCUGGUAUUGAUUGGCCAAACCUAAAAUUCUUAAAAUUUUAUGGAUGGAAGAUAUAUGAGUCUAUAUUCAGGUAAAAUUAACGGCAAUUGAUUUUGAGUUUUGUAGCUCCAGUUGUAAAUAAUUUAGUGACUAUUGCUCAGGAAAACAGCUUGUAGUGAAUAUGUGAAUUUGUUGUAAACAUUGAUGAAACUAUUUGAGUUGCUCAUAAGCUAUUGCUGAAAUUGAUGUACAAGAUAAAUAUAUAUGUGUGUGGUAAAGCGGAAUGACUAAUGUGAAAUAUGUAUGAGAUAUGUAUAUGUGGUAAAGCGGAAUGGCUAAUGUGAAAUAUGUAUGAGAUGUGUAUAUGUGGUAAAGCGGAAUGGCUAAUGUGAAAUAUGUAUGAGAUGUGUAUAUGUGGUAAAACCGAAUGGCUAAUGUGAAAUAUGUAUGGGAUGUGUAUAUGUGGUAAAGCCGAAUGGCUAAUGUGAAAUAUGUAUGGGAUAUGUAUACGUGGUAAAGCCAAAUGGCUAGUGUGAAAUAUGUAUGAGAUAUGUAUACGUGGUAAAGCCGAAUGGCUAGUGUGAAAUAUGUAGGAGAUGUGUGUAUAUUGUGGCCGAAUGACCAAAUGUGAAAGGUGUGUAUUAUUAGAUAUUUAAUGAGGCAAAUGAAUUACAAAUAUGACAGUCGAUGUGAAUGUUGUAACAUGUGAAUAAAUGUACAUGAAACUUGGAAAUAUAUUCCGGGUAAGACCCGAUGACUACGUGUGGAGAUUAUGUCUGGGUAAGACCCGAUGACUACGUGUGGAGAUUAUGUCCGAGUAAGACCCGAUGACUAUGUGUGGAGAUUAUGUCCGGGUAAGACCCGAUGACUACGUGUGGAGAUUUUGUCCGGGUAAGACCCGAUAACUACGUGUGGGGACUAUUCGAGCUAAAGGUUUCGCUGAAGAUUCGAGUAAAGCAUAAGAUUAUACGACUUCACAGUAACAAUUGGUAAUAAAUACGUUCAAUGUGUUAAGCUGGUCAGGUAUGUAUUUUGAGAUUAUAUUUAAGCUUGAUUUGGACUAAAUCACAAGGUCGUUAUGUGAUGCAUAUGUGAGUAAAGCAAUAAGACUGUUUUAUGAUUAUUGUGCGUUUGGUCAAUGUGGAAAGUUAGGUGAAAAUAUGUAAUGUACCUAUGUUUAUAAGAGAUCACUAUCAAGUGAGAAUUUAUCUGCCUAUUAUAUGAUGAGAAGGGCAUAUUCGGUAAAGGGAUGGUAUGCCCGAAGGAAGAGUGAAAUAAAAAUACGAACAACUAUGUUAUAAUUUGAUUGUUAUCUGUUGACACUGCUUAAAACUUACUAAGCAUUGUAAUUCUUACUCCGUUUACUUUGUUUCCUCUGUUUUAUAGAUCUCAUUUGGAAGCUACAGGCUCGGGGAUCGUCAGCAACUAGUCACACUAUCAUUAUCCACUGCUUGUUACUGUUAUGUUUUGAAUUAUUUUAUGGCAUGUAAAGAAUAGACCAGUGGCCGAAGAAUAUGUUGGUUAAUGUAUAUAAGCCAUGCGAAAAUGGCAACUUUUGAAUGUGUACUUAUAGCAGUUAAAUUGUAUCCCUGACUGUCUUUAGUAUUUACCUAAAGGAACGUUCUUUAUAAAAAAAUAUUCAAAAUUUUUACUGUUCGGAUAUGAGUUUCAAGUCCGGUAAUGCCCCUUUACCUAUUCCGACGACGGAUACGGGAUAGGGGUGUUACAUCAGCGUUAAGGGCUAAGAAGUUAGUACGAAAGGGAUGCGAAGCCUUUUUGGCUUAUAUUAGUGAUACGGAGGCUAAGAGCCUUACUGUUAAGGAGUUAAGAACGAUUAGGGAAUUUUUGGAUGUCUUUCCCGAGGAGCUCCCAGGGUUGCCACCCAGUAGGGAUGUAGAAUUUGGAAUCGAGUUGUUACCUGGGACGGCAUCGGUGUCUAUCGCUCCUUAUCGGAUGGCACCAAAGGAGUUAGUGGAACUUAAGGCACAAAUUUAGGAAUUGUUGGAUCGAGGGUUCAUACGACCAAGUGUGUCCCCAUAGGGAGCACCAGUGUUAUUCGUGAAGAAGAAGGAUGGAACCUUAUGAAUGUACAUCGAUUAUCGACACUUAAAUAAGUUAACUGUUAAAAACAAGUACCCUCUACCAAGAAUUGAUGAUCUUUUCGAUCAGUUUAGGGGAGCUUCUAUUUUCUCAAAGAUUGAUCUGCGUUCGGGAUAUCACCAAUUGAGAGUGAAGGAGACAAACGUUCAUAAGACGGCUUUUAGAACUCGUUAUGGCACUACGAGUUCUUAGUGAUGCCAUUCGGGUUGACGAACGCACCUGCCGCUUUCAUGGAUCUCAUGAAUCAGGUCUUUCAACCCUACAUGGAUCGGUUCGUGGUAGUCUUUAUAGAUGACAUUUUGGUGUACUCAAAAGAUGAGGAUGAGCAUGAUGCACACUUAAAGAUUGUGUUACAGACUUUGAGAGAGAAGUAGCUGUAUGCCUAAUUUAGUAAGUGUGAAUUUUGGCUAAGGGAGGUUACUUUUCUAGGACAUGUGGUGUCAACCGAGGGGAUUAAGGUGGAUCCUCGAAAAAUUGAAGCGGUGUUAGACUGGAAAACACCCAAGUCGGUAUCGAAAAUCUGAAGUUUUCUGGGCUUGGCAGGAUACUGUAGGCAGUUUGUUGAGGGCUUUUCAGUAAUUGCUGCACCCUUAACUAAGUUGUUAAGGAAGGGGGUACCGUUUGUUUGGACAAAUAAGCAGCAAGAGAGUUUUGGAAAACUCAAGAAAGUUUUAACUGAGACCCCUAUGUUGAUUCAACUAGUGCCUGGGAAGGAGUUUAAGGUUUAUAGUGACGCGUCGCAUGUAGGCUUAGGUUUCAUAUUGAUGCAAGAAGGAAAGGUGGUUGCAUAUACAUCACGACAACUUAAGACUCACGAGGCGAAUUACCCAACCCAUGAUUUAGAGCUAGCUACGGUGGUGUUUACACUUAAAAUAUAGAGGCAUUACUUAUACGGGGAGAAGUGCAUAAUUUAUUGAGACCACGAGAGUUUGAAGAAAUCCUUACCCAAAAGGAGCUAAACCUUAGGCAAUAUAGGAUGGUGGAAUUAUUGAAGGAUUAUGAUUGUACGAUUGAAUACCACCCUGGCAAAGCAAAUGUGGUAGCCGACGCGUUGAGUCGUAGGGCUUAGACAGACUUGAGAGCUAUGCUUGCCUGUUUAAGUUUGUUGGAUGAUGGUAGCUUGUUAGUUGAGCUUCAAGUAAAGCCGGUGUGGGUCGAGCAGAUAAGGAGUAAGCAAUUAGUGGAUGAGAAUUUGAGUGCUCGUUUUAAACAAGUGGAGAGUGGGGAGACAUCAUACUUUAGGAUAAAUAGUUAAGGACUAUUGUGUUUUCGUGGGAGAAUGUGUAUACCAAAAGACGAUGAUCUAAGGAAGUCUGUUCUACGGGAAGCACAUAGCGGUCUCUACGCAAUGUAUCCUGGUGAAAACAAGAUGUAUCGUAAUUUGCGUGAGCUUUAUUAGUGGCCUGGACUUAAGCGCGAGGUUAUGGAGUUCUUAGGUAAAUGCUUGGUUUGUCAAAAGGUGAAAGCGGAACAUCAGUUGCCUUCGGGAUUGCUUCAGCCAGUAAAGAUUCCACUCUAGAAGUGGGAAAGGAUCACUCUGGACUUUGUUAGUGGGCUACCCUUGAUGCCUGCUAAGAAAGACUCGAUAUGGGUUAUAGUGGAUCGGUUAACCAAGUCUGCCCAUUUUGUAUCGGUUCGCACUGAUUACCCGUUGCAAAAGAUGGCUAGGCUGUAUGUGGCGGAGAUUGUAAGAUAUGGAGUGCCAGUCUUUAUAAUAUCUGAUAGGGACCCAUAUUUCACUUCGCGAUUUGGGAAGAAUCAGCAUGAGGCGUUGGGUACUAGGUUGAAUUUCAGCACGACAUUUCACCAUCAAACUGAUGGAUAGUCGGAAAGGGUGAUCCAAGUGUUGGAAGAUAUGUUGAGGGGAUGCGUGAUUGCGUUCUGAGUAGUUGGGAGGACUAUUUACCGUUAGCCGAAUUUGCGUACAAUAAUAGCUAUCAAGCAAGCAUUGGGAUGGCUCCAUACAAAGCACUGUAUGGGCGAAGGUGUCGAACUCCAACAUGUUGGACAGAGUUGGGUGAACAAAGAGUUUUGGGCCUUGAGUUAGUAGCCGAUAUUGAGGAUAAGGUAAAAUUGAUUCGGGAUCGUUUGAAGGAGGCCUCGGAUAGGCAGAAGUCGUAUGCUGACCUUAAGCGUCAAGAGAUAGAGUAUGCAGUGGGAGACUUAGUUUUUCUUAAGGUCUCUUCGUGGAAUAAGGUGUUAAGGUUUGGACGAAAGGGUAAGCUAAGCCCAAGGUUCAUUAGACCAUAUCAGGUUGUAAAGCGGCUUGGGCCAGUCGCUUAUCAGCUGGAAUUGCCUCCUGAACUAAGCCAGAUCCACGACGUGUUUGAUGUUUCUAUGUUGAGACGGUAUCACUCGGAUCCUUCCCAUGUCGUGGAGAUUGAAGAAAUCGAGGUUAGACCAGACCUAACUUUCGAGGAAGAGCCCAUACAAAUAAUUGGUCGUGAUGUUAAGGUACUGAGAAGGAAGUCUGUUCCAUUAGUCAAAGUGCUUUAGCGUAAUCACAAGGUUGAGGAGGCUACAUGGGAUCCUGAGGAAGCGAUGGGACGUCAACAUCCUCAACUGUUUGAAUCAGGUGAAUUUUGAGGAUGAAAUUUAUUUUAGGGGGUAGAGUUGUAACGCCUCAAAAAUCUCGAAAUCCAAAAAUCCCGAAAUCCUGAAAUCCCGAAAUCCCGAAAUCCCAAAUUUUAUUUAUUUUCGAUUUUGAUAAAAAUUGUGUUUAAUAUUCUUAUCCUAGUGAUAAUUUUGAGUGAUAUCGAUUGUAGGUUUGGGCUAAGGAGAUCGCAUCACGCUUGCUUACCAGGUGUGUACAUACACUGCACACACAUUAUGUAUCGGCAAAAGCCGAAAUGCAGAAAAGCUGAAAUGCCAAAAAGCCGAAAGUUUGGCUACGGUAGUCUUGCGAGUGUGCGAGCACUCGUAAGGGGGAGAAUGAUAGGUUGCCUGAGGCCCACGGGAAAUUCCGUGGACUUGGGUUGUGAUUUGGCCAUAUGGGCCGGAAUGGGCUAAAUGGGCCCGAUGGGCUGUUGGUCCCAUAAUAGGAAAAAACUGAAUGUUGAUGCUAUGUGAUUGGAACUUGUAUGUGAGCAUGAAUAUGAAUGUGACUCGGUCUAACGGGCCAUAUAAAUGUCAUUUGGGCCUAAUGGGCCAUAUGAAUAUGAUUGGGCUUAAUGGGCCAGAUACAGGUAUGUGAAAUUGUUUGGGCUUUGUAAGGGGUUUUGGGCCUAGUAUAUGAUAUCUACAUAAGACUUAAUUAAUAUAUUGCGGCCGUGGACAAGUCAAAGAGUUAAGGUGUGGCAACGGGUAUAUGCAUGUCUAGGAUUGGAUCUAGGGAGAGCUUGGUACUUAAGCGAUCUUAAUGACUCACCUCCUAUUCUCUAGAAUCCUACCUGGUGCAUGGUGCUCGUUCAUCUUAGCUCACGGGACUCAUUAAAGGGCCAAGGUAAGUGAAAACCGUAAUUAAGGGAAAAUUACCGAAAUACCCCUAAGGGCGAGAAUAACCAAAAUACCCCUAGGUGUAAAGUGUAAGUAUUAUGGAUGUGACAUGCAUACAUAUGAUAUUCUGCUUAGGUUGCAUAUGGGUGGAAAUUAUGGAACGGAGGAAGUAUAUGAGGAUCGCAUGGUUGCUUGACAAUCAUGGAUUCACCGACGGCUUUUAAAGCCCAAUAUGUAAAUGAAGGUAGUUCCGCAACCGGGCUACCAUAGUGUGUGGGCUGGGUGGGUCGAUAUUUAUAUCCCCACAUGGUGUGAUGGGGGACGGAGCUGGUGUGUAGUGGAUGGAUAAUUCGGAUGGGAUUGUAUUGCAUGAUUGAUGAAUGAUGCUUUUUUUGAAUGCUUGUUUUUGCCAAGGGUUGUACACACUGAGUUUGCGAAAACUCACCCCCUUCUUUUAUUUUAUUUUCAGGUGAUGCUUAGUAGAAGGUUCGAUGUUUGGAGGGACUCUGGGUGGCCGGCUAGCAAGAUAAUUUCGGACUUGUUUUUUUUAAGCAUUUAAGUUUUUUUUAUUUCUUUUUAAGUAUGUUUCAAACCAGAUUGUAAUAAGGUUUUCAUUGUGUUAUUAUUACUUAAAUUAUUAUUAUUAUUUUCAUUGUAACUACGAGAAGUUGAACAUGAAUUUCUUAAAUUAUAGUAUGUUUUCUAUGUUUCCGCAACUAAGUUUUGUUUUCAAAUGUUUUAAAUAAGGCUUCGUAACUGAAAGGUUUCUUUUUAAGUUAAUUAGGGUUUCUUUUAUUUUAUGAAGGGUUUUCAAUGAAAACACGAUUUUUGCUAAAACACUUUAAUGUGACACACCAGAUUCGGUCAUAGCGUCUGGGUCAGGUUUGGGGUGUUACACAUACACCAUAGAAAGUAGGCAUUGUGAGUAUUAACGACGCCAGUGCUCUCUCGCCUUCCUGUUAUCAUGUGAGCCAAAAUGGCGUGUAGAUACCUCAGAGAUGGAGGGAGAGCUGAUGCCUUGGAGCGACUAGGAUUAUAGGUGGCUGCACCUGGUACUAGUGCGUCCCAAAAACAUGAAGGAGAAUGAUGGAUAUGGCGGUUGAGAGUAUCUAAGUCAUUCUCUUCCAUGAAUUCCUCUGUAUAUAAGCCGAGUGCCGUACCAAAUUCUAGGACGCUGAGCUGGCAGAUUAAUCCGGCUAAGCAAAAUUGCACCGUGUCGGGAUCAUCAUAGUUCGUCAUCACGUUCUGAAGAUGAAAUGUGGAGCAUAAUUCCAUUGUGAGCUCGAGAUACGUCGGCUCGAUGAUCCCAAAGAAAAGCUCUUAAGGAUCGGUGGUUAGGAGGGCUCGAAUCGCAUCAGCCAACUGAACUUGUUCUACUGUAGCCUAGUCAAUGCAGCGGACCACAAUUAAAGGUCGGGCCUAGAGUAUUUGGAAAAGUUCUUAUUGGGGCCCAAUGGGGAACCUCAGGAAAGGGUGACGGACUUCCGCGGUAGGACCCGAAGAAGAUGACGCACCCUUCCUUUUCUUUGAAGCAGGGACAACGACUUUCUUUCCACGUGAAGAUGUCAUUGUAUACCUGCAAGCAAAACCAUUAUUUCGUUUUGAGGAAUGUUCAAGGUAAUACAAAAGCAAAUCUAAAAAGGCAGAAGUCAUAAAUUAGAACUAAUAAUCUCAGUCACAACUACUAGCAAACUUAAUCAAAAAUAAUUUUAUGGUGUAUCAUUAGCAUGACAAUAGUAUGAGUUUCCUAAAAAAAAGGGCAAAUAAUUCUAUGUUAGUGCAUUUUAUUGAUGGAGAUUAUCAACCCAAAAGUCAUGAGAAUUUUCACUUUAAACUAGUAAAAUGUAGCAGAUAAAUCAUGCAACGAGGAAGAACUUCAACAUGAAAAGAUAAUAACUAAUCUAGAUAUGAAAUGUGAGUGAUAAAGAGAUGAAAAGAACAUAAAAAAUGUAUAGUACUAUGAUAACUUAACAUGAAAAAUGAGUACAAUUAAAGGAAAAAAAAAACAAACGCUAGAAAGGGAAGAAUGAGCGUCAAAAAUAGAGUUGGAGGCGACGCACAGGCGUGGUAGGGGGCGUGUGGACUUGCAGCGGCUAGGGUUAGGGUUUUUGGGUGAAGAAGAUAAUGAAUAGUGAAGCCUAUUUUUAGAUUUUGGGGUACACGGCCGGGGAACACGCCCGUGUUCCCCAAUUUUUACCCGUGUGAUUCAUGAAUUUUGAAUUUGGGCGCGUCUGAUAAUUUCCCCACGCCUAUGUUCCUUGGGCGUGUGGGUGUACAUGGUCGUAUUGCAUGACCGUGCCUAGGUUUGUUCGCUUCUCCCACGCCCGUGUAUGUAGGCCCACGCUCGUGUUCGUUUAACAGGUUCGACCAGUGGUUCUAGACAUGGGCGUGCCGCACGCCUGUGUUGUUUUGCCAGGUUCACCCACGGCCAUGUCGCACAGUUGUGGUGAUUUAUCGUAGCCCGUGUUGGGUAAAUCUUUCCCCUAUUUUCACAUGGCCCUAAGCACGCCCGUGUGCUUGGCCGUGUUUGUGUGGAAAAUCCUGUAUUCAAGAUCUCUAUUAGUAAGUUAGGUGUUAAAUACUAAAAUUUAAAGAAAUUAAUAUUGUUAGUGCUCGGGUUGCCUCCCGAGAAGUGCUUAUUUAUAGUCUAAGCUCCACUUACCUCUCAAUUGAAUGGUCAUGGUGGUUCGAGGAGUUUGUACUCCUCAUUCCUGCUAUCAUUCUCAUCAAAAUAAAGUUUUAGACGGGUAUUAUUUACCUUAAAAGUGUCGAACUUGGGAUGACUUACCUCAACUGUACCGAAUGGGAAAAUACUAAGUACCGUAAGAGGAACAUCUUCAUUUGGUUCGGUAGUGACAAUGUAAGGAUCUGCGGCAUCUAAUAAAACUCUAUCUCCAACCUUAAGUUGAUUAGGAAAGGUAUUGAGCUCGUUUUGGCGUAGUUUUGGUUUAUUGUGUGUUUUUGGUUUAUGCGUCCUCCAUUCAUCUAGCUCCUCAACUUGUAGCCUUUGAUCUUCAUGAAUAGGUCCUCUACUAUUGCUUGAGAAUGGCUCAUGUGCUUCUUUCAGACUCAUUUCCUACAAAGUAGGUUGCACCAUAUUGUCAGUUUUAGUAGAAUGGUCUAAACAAUCACCUUCAAUUUUCGAUGUGUUGUUAGAAUUAAGAGCUUGAAGGGUGAUUGUUUCGUCUCCCACACGAAGUGUGAGCUCACCUGUGCCAACAUCAAUAAUCAUAUUAGCAGUUGCCAAAAACGGUCUUCCUAAAAUCAAAGGAGUGUUGGUAUCCUCCUUGAUGUCUAAAACAAUGAAGUCAACGGGAAAUAUAAAUUUAUCGACUUUAACUAGCACAUCUUCAAUAAUACCCCUAGGAAAUUUUAUAGUUUUUUCUGCUAAUUGAAUGUUCAUCCUAGUCUAUUUGGGUUUCCCAAGACCUAAUUGUUUGAACAUUUUGUAGGGCAUGACGUUAAUACUAGCCCCUAAAUAAGCUAAUGCAUUAUUAACAUCUAAACUACCAAAUAAGCAAGGAAUCAUAAAACUCCCUGGAUCUUUUAGUUUGUUGGGUAGUUUAUUCUGUAGAAUAGCUAAGCAAACUGCAUUUAGCUCCACAUGUGACGCCUCGUCCAACUUUCGCUUAUUUGCUAAAAGCUCCUUUAAAAAUUUCAUUGCAUUUGGCAUCUGUGAUAGAGCUUCAAUAAACGGUAAGUUAAUGUGUAAUUUUUUAAAGAGUUUAAGGAAUUUACCAAAUUGUUCAUCUGAGCGGUCUUUCCUUGUCACGUUGGGGUAUGGCACACGAGGUUUAUAUUCGACAUUCACUGAUUUAUUUUUAUUACGACCUACCUGAUCUUGAUCUCUACUCACCACAGUUUCUUACUUCGGUUCUUGCUCAGGCUCAAUGAAUUCUUCUUCAUCUUGAACAUUAAUCACGUUGAGCUGUUCCCUUGGGUUUGGUUCAGUAUUACUUGGCAAGCUACCUUGUAGUUGUAAUGGGCCAAUUUAGCCCGGGCCCGUAUAAACACAAAACCAAAAAAUAAUAAACAAAAAUAUAUUAACAGUCCAAUAAAAUCCCACAGUCCAUUUAAUGUCCCCUUACAAACUAUUACAAUGACCCAAUGCCAAAACUUAUACCCUAACCCAAUACCCAAGCCAAUGCCUUGGCCCAACACCAAAAUUACACCGGCCCAAGUGGCCCAAAGAUUUUAGAACAGACAGAACCUUAGGGUUCUCCUUCUGCUUGCGCCGCAACCAUGCAGCCAAGCCCCAGCCCCCAUAUCAGCUACCUCCGUACCCGCGUCAGCACAGCCCCGUACGCCUCGCGCCAAGGGCCAACGCACAGUCCUGUACUCGUACCUACAAACAAACGAGGCAGAACAGCAGCAAAUGGAAAUAAAAGAGAAAUAUUGUAUUGUUUAUUUUGAUUUUCCUUUUUUCUUUGGCUAUAAAGCCGAAGUUUUAAUCCUUGUAAUUGAUUACACACAAAAAAUACAGAGGCAUUCAGAAGCAAUAGAAAGCAAAAAAUAGAACAAGGUGAUUUUCUGCUUUGAAUCUCAGGUUUAUCACGCUUUUUCUCUCUCAAUUUGCCUUGGUGAUUUUUUUUCGUUCAUUACAUCUAAAUAAAAGAAAAAGGAAAUGAAACCUUACCUGGAAAAUAGGCCAUCGGUUUUCCUUUGCUUCGUUGAAAUCGGAGACUUAAGGGGAACCUCAAGGCCACAAAGUGCUCGCACAUAGCCUGAGGAUGCCGGUCAUCGACGUGGUGGUGGCUUGGCAUUGGAGAAGAGAGGUUUAGGGGCUGCUGGAGAGAAAAGAAAUGAUGCUAGGGUUUAGGUUCGACCAAAGCUACCGAUUUAGCCCUUUUAUACAACCUCAAACGGCACCGUUUUAGGCCCUGCCUAAUGGCUCUCCAAACGAUGUCGUAUAGCUAGCCCGACCCGAUCCGUUUCUCCACCCUAGGACCCGCGUGCUCUCGCAGAGAGGGGGUUAUUUCACAACCGGUCCCUCCUUUUUGUAUGGACAUUCAAUGGUGUCUUAUUUAUUUCAUUUUUUUAAUUUGGCCUUGUAAUUUGCGCACGAGUGCAAUCUAAUCCGCGCCUAAACGCAUCACUUUGGGUUUUGGUAUAUUGCCAGUUUUAGUCCCUUGCAUUCGCGCGCGCGUUAAAACUUAGUCAUUUUCCUAAUUUCAGCAACUAAUUUUAUUUAUUAAUUGUCCUUUUAGUUUCAUUUUUGUUUCAAUUGAGUUUUUUCGUUUUUCAUUAUUUUCAGCAUUUUUAUUCUUUGAAACCCUUUUAUUUUUGAAAUUUACUUAUUAUCCACCAUUCAAUAUACUAUCUUGAAGUAUUUUAUUAAGUUUUGCAUGACCAUAUUUUAUUAUUCAUACUUUCAUUUAUAUACAUGUAUAUAUAUAUCUAUAUGUAACUAUAUAUAUCUAUUCAUUUAUUUUCUUUUAAAUUAGUUUGUUUAAAAUGUUCUUUUAUACACAUAGGUAUAUAUAUACUUUACAAUAAGGUUCAUUUUAUUUUAUACAUAUUAUUAAUAAUAUAUUAUUUUAUACAUAUGUUUUCCCUUAAAUUUAUUCUCAUCUCUUAUUACAUAAUUUUACAUAAUAUACCCCUUAAGCUAUUAUAUUAUAUAUUUUGGUGACACUUAUGUUUAGUCUAUAUAUAUUAUAUUAAAUUUAUGAAUUUUAUAUAGAUCGUACUCUUUGUAUAUAUGCAUAUAGGCACAUUCUUAAAACUAUUAUAUAUUUUAUUAUAAAAUUAACUUAACGCCGCAUGUAUUUCUAUAUCAUUUACAAGUGAUUAUUUUCUAAGUUAUUUAUGUAUAUAUUUUGUAAAUCUACCUUGUGUAUUAUAUUUCAUUAUGUAUUUUAUUUUUUUCUUUCGUAUUAUAUAUAUUAUUUAAGUUAUCAUGUGCUUUGUCAAUUUUCAAAUGAAUUUGUUUUUAAACAUUUUUGCAUGUGAUUUAAUUCAAAAUUGUAUUCUAUAAUAUCUAUUUCAAGAAUUAUAUUCUUAUUUUCUAUAUAAAUUUGUCAAUCUAUACAUUAUGUGUUUUGAAAAUAUUCAUUCUACGAUAUAUAUUUCGAUGAUUACGUGAGUAUAUUCAGCUUGUCAUUGUUCUACAAUAAUCUUAUACCAUAUUGCUUCUUUGGAUUGCGUUUUAUUUUAUGCCUCUAAUAAUUUUAUUAUGCCAUGUAUGCCGUCGUUGCAUUUUAUUUAUUCGUUAUUGCCACGUUAAUUGUUCCCCAUGUGUGAUUGUAAUCGGAUUAUGUCCCUUAGGUUAGUUAUAUUUUUAGGGUUCGUUAAUCGAUUUUAUUUCAUGCAUAUAUGCCCCUAUAUUAUCGUUUCACUUGAUUUUUGAAAUGUGGUUCUAUAAAACCUGAAUCUUGUGAUUAAUUUUGUCUUAUUUCAAAUCGAAUUAAUACGUCUUAAGCUAGCUUUAUAAUCAUUCAUUCAAAAAUUCUUCAAAACGAAGACGAGAUUCGAUGUUUGGCAAUUCGCGGAAUCGUGCCCUAACGUGUUGGGUUGCAAUUUCGUGUUUGCUCAAAAUAAUCGAAUACCACUUCAAAAUUUCACUCAUGUCUUUUAAAAUUCUUGAAAACGGAGACAAGAUUCGAUAUUUAGCAAUUCGCGGAAUCGUGCAAUUUGCGGAAUCGUGCCCUAACAUGUUGGGUUGCAAUUUCGCGUUUGCUCAAAAUAAUCGAGUAUCCCUUCAAAAUUUCAUUCAUAUCUUCUAAAAAUUAUUUAAAACGAAGGCAAUAUUCGGUGUUUGACAAUUUGAGAAUAGUGCCCUAUCGUGUUGGGUUGUGAUUUCUCAUUUGCUCAAAACGAUUGAACAUUCCUUUAUAUUCCCACUCAUGUUUAAAAAAUUACUUAAAAACGAAGACGAUGUUCAAUGUUCGGCGAUUUGAGAAUCGAGCCCUAUCAUGCUGGGUUGCGCUUUUUCAUUUGUCCUAUAUAAUUGAACAUUUCUUCGGAAUUUCACACGUAUUUUCUAAGGUAAGGCAAUGGUCAAUGUUUGGAAAUUCGAGGAAACGUGCCCUACUGUGCUGGGUUUUGGUGUUCCGUUGGACUAAAUAGUUGAGCAUCCUUUUGCAAUUUUCAGAUUAUAAAUUUUCGGACGUCGAAACAAGAAGAUUUUUGACAAUCAACUCAGGUUAUUAUAAUGUUAUUAAAAAAGGACCACAUUUCAAAAACAUUUUUAGUUUUAGACAUAAGGACAGUAUUUAAUCGAUUCGGUACCAAUUUUGGGCGUAGUGAGGGUGCUAAUCCUUCCUCAUGCGUAACCGACUCCCGAACCCGUUUUCUCAAAAGUUCGUAGACCAAAAUCGUUGUUUUAAUAAACCAAAAAUGUUUUAUUAAACUAACCUUAUUUUUAGGUGAUCCGAUCACACCAAAACAAAAGAUCAGUGGUGACUCCAUGUAUUUAUUUUUCAAAAGUCGAUUUCCCCCUUUUUUAAAUUCAAAAUUUUUAAAUUGAGGAAUGGUUUUGACAGUGGUUGUUCAGAGAUUAGGUUGGACAGCUGGCCUAUCUGCGUUUCGAGCCUAGAUCGAUGCUUGUUGAUUCUUAAGUGCUUUCUCGAUAUUCUGGAAAUGAGUUUCUGACACCGAUAUAAACUUUGAUAGCAUCUCUUCAAGGUUCGGCUUCUUUUCCUGUUGGUAGGUGGUUGUUGGUAGCCUAGAGGUGGUCUCUGAUUUCCUUGGCCUCCCCAUGAGAAAUUUGGGUGGUUCCUCCGACCUGCAUUGUAAGUGUUACUAUAUGGAUUGUUUUGAGAUAGAGAAUUACUACCCAUGUAAUUUAACUACUCGUUAUCCAUGUUGUGGCCAUAAGGUUGGUAUUUUGAAUUGCUUGAUCCACCUCCACUUGCUUCGCACUGCAUUACUAGGUGAACCUGUGAAGAACUAAGAAAACCAUCAAUUUUCUUAUUCAAGAGUUCUACCUAAUUAGAGAGCAUGGUGACCGAAUCGACGUUAUAAACACCGACUAUUUUUGUUGGCUUUUUGCUCAUGACUUGCCACUGAUAGUUAUUCAGUGACAUCUCUUCUAUAAACUCAUAAGCAUCUUCAGGUGUUUUAUUAUUGAUGGUUCCGCUAGCAGCUGCAUCAACCAUUUGUCGCAUCGAAUGAUUCAGGCUAUUAUGGAAUGUUUGAACCUGAAGCCAAAGCAGUAAUCCCUGGCGAGGGCACCUUCUCAGUAAGUCCUUGUAUCUCUCCCAUGCAUCGUAAAGAGUUUCUAAGACCAUCUGCACAAACGAAGAGAUAUCAUUACGUAAUUUAGCCGUUUUUGCCGACGAAAAAUAUUUUAGUAAAAAUUUUUCGGUCAUUUGUUCCCAAGUAGUAAUUGACCCUCGUGGUAACGAGUUCAACCACUGUUUAGCUUUGUUCCUUAAUGAAAAAGAGAAUAACCGAAGAUGAAUGGAAUCAUUAGAAACACCAUUAAUUUUAAAUGUAUCCAAUAGUUUCCAAAAGUUUGCUAAGUGAGCAUUGGGAUCCUCAUCCUGCAAACCAUCAAACUGAACAAAUUGCUGUAUCAUUUGAAUAGUGUUAGGUUUUAGUUCAAAAGUAUUUGCUGCUAUAGCAGGUUUAACUAUGCUCGAUUCAGUUCCUGUUAAAAGAAGGUUUAGCAUAAUCAUACAUAGUGCGUGGAGCAGGAUUUUGAGUAACUGCAAUUGUAGAAGGUAGCUGAUUGUCUUGGUUUUCAGCCAUCUCUUCGGUUGGGGGUUGAGUAUCGUCCUCUUGCUCGUUCUCUGUGUAUCUUAAGCUUCGCCUUAUUUCUCUUUGGUUUUUGUGAACUGUGCAAUCGAUUUCUUCGUCAAAGAGUAGUAGUCCUGACGGGUUUCUUCUAAUCAUAAACUAUAAAAACCUGCCAAGAGAAACAAAAGUAAAUUAAUAAAUAAUAAUAAAUUAAAUUAAAUUAAAUUUCAAGAAAAAUAAAUGGAUAAAGUAAUAAAAAUUGAGCGUUCCUAAUAUCUUAGUUCCCCAGCAACGGCGCCAAAAACUUGAUCGCGAUUUUCGUGUGACAGGUUCUAAAUACUUAUAAUUAAUCGUUCUUGAAACUAACUAUAAUCACGAUGUAGGCAAGUGUACCUAUCGAACAGUAGUAUAGUUUUAGCAAGAUCGGAUUGUCGAACCCAAAGGAACUAAAAGUACUAGUAAUGACUGUCUUUUUAUUAUCUAGCCUAAAAAUAUGGGGGUUUUGUUUUAACUAACUAAUUAUCUAAACUAAGAAUUCGUAGAAAGUAGAAUUGGGGGAUUACUUUUGGAAAACGAUUGAAUUAAGACAAUACCUAAGAAAAAAUCCACCUAGACUUUACUUGUUAUUCUGGCUCCGAAUCAGACUAUUUAUUUAUUUAACUUGUCCCUUAGAGAUCCCUAAGUUAUGUUAUUAUCCCUAUUCAGGACUAAUAACGUCUAAUCCCUAGAUUGAAUAAUUUAGACUUUUCUCUAAUUAACACCCUAGGGUUGCAUUAACUCGAUCUAUGGAUCCCCUUAUUAGGUUUCACCCUAAUUCGGUAAAAUCUUGUCACCCUAUGUCUAGGCGCGCAAUCAACUCCGCUUAAUUAUGACAAAUGUACUCUUAGACAGGGUCUAUUCCUCCUCUGAAUAAGAGCUUAUCUUGAAUCAGUAUCCUGGGUUAUCAAAACAAGAAUUAAGAAAACAUAAUAAAGAACAAGUUAAAUAUUUAUCAUACAAUUUAGAAAAUAAUAGCAAGACUCGUCUUAGGUUUCAUUCCUCUUAGGUAUUUAGGGAUUUAGUUCAUAACUAAAAAGGAAAACAUCUCAAAAGAAUAAUGAAUACAAAACAUAAAGAAAACCCAAAACUCCUGAAGGGAAAUUUAGGGGAGAUCUUUAGUCUUGAUAGUGAAUCCGGCUUUUGAGAUGGAUCAAUAGACUUUCCUUGAGCAGUUCCCUGCCUCCUUCUCUCAGUGUGCCACUUUCCUCUUCCUCUAGGGUGUAUUUAUAGGCUUUGGAAUGCCUAGGAACCCUCAAAAUUAGCCUUUGCUGAAUUGGACUCAACUUGGGCUCGGUAGGGACACGCCCGUGUGACACACCUGUGUGAGUCGUGCUUCGAUUCUGUCAGAUUGACGCGGCCAUGUGGUAUGCCUGUGUGAGGAAGUCCAUGCCGUGUUGAUUUCGUACUUUGGCCCAUUUUCUCCGUUUUUGGCUCAUUUCUCAUUCCUUUUGCUCUCCUAUGCUCACCUAAGUAUAAAACAUGAAAUUAAGGCAUUAGGAGCAUCGAAUUCACCAAUUCUAUGAAAAAAUAAUCCAUAAAAUGCGUUAAGCAUGGGGUAAAAAUGUGUAUAAAUUACGGUUUAUCAAUUACUCCAUUGUAUUUCAAGUGAAAUUAAUAUGUUUUGAGUUUACAAAUCUUUUUAAUAAGGCAAUGUUCAGUAUUUAGAAAUUCGAGAAAUUGUGCCCUACCGUGAUGGGUUUUGAUUUUUUGUUGGACUAAAUAUUGGACAACCUUUUGUAAUUUUUAACCUAAGAGCUUUUGGAAGUCAAAAUUCAAUCAUGUUCUCAAAAGUAUAAAGGAUCAUGCCCUAUCGUGCUGGAUGUGAUGCUUUAUACCUUUGAAACGAGAGAGUUUUGAUGACCAGUUUGAACCACUUAAAUGUUUUAAAAGGAAUCAUAUUUCAAUUUUUUUUAAAAAACCUAGACAUAAGGACAACAAUUAAUCAAUCUGGUACCAGUUUUUGGGUGUAGUGAAGGUGCUAACCCUUCCUCAUACGUAACCGGCUCUUGAACCCAUUUUUAACUUUAUGUGGACCAAAAUUGAUUUAAAUGAAACAAAAUGUUUUAUUAGGUGAUCCAAUCACACUAAAACAAAAAGAUUGGUGGCGACUCCACAUUUUGUUUUAAAAGUCGAUUCCCAUUUUUUCAAAUAUAAAAAAUGGUUUCAACAGCUUGGUGAUUCCACUAGGGACAAACAAUAGAGUCAGGCCAAAAAAUUGAUUAUUUGCUGUCCUUUUGUUUAAAUGUGAAAUUUAAUUUGAAAAUAAUGAUUCUUUGUUGCAUUUGGUCGCAUGAUCGUUGUGGUUAUACCUGUUAAGUGGGUGUAAGAAACUAUGCUUUCGUGAGGUUUUCACCUCCCCAUGGGCUAGUGGAUUGCUUUCGGGAUACAUCUAUACCUAUGAUUUCGUGAGAUUUUCAUCUCCGCAUGGUCAUAGGGAAAUGUAUUCCCCUGAAUCGAACUUGAUUCGUAUGAGCCUAUAAUGCGUGAGAAUUGAGGAAUUUAUUGGUUCAGGUACCUUCUCUCUAGAACCGAGCCACAUAUAGUGAACCUUAAGAGCUAUCCUUAGGUAGAGCUGUGUUAAGCCUUAGUAAUUGCCAUAUAUGUGUUUUGAUUAUCUUUGUUUUGCUUUUAUUUUAUUAUUUAUAUCUAAUACUGACUUGUUGUGUUUUGUUUUAAUUGUGUUUUGCAUAACAUUGCAUAUUAAAGGAGGUGUUGAUUCAUAUUUGAUUACUAAGUUAGAAGAUUUAACAUGGAGAAUGAAUUUCUUGAUAAAGUUGAGGAUAAUGCGACCGUACAUGCAUGGUCAGAGAAGUUACAAUUAGAGAAAAGGGAUAGCCUGGCAGAAGGAUAUACAUCAGAGUUGCAGAACUUCACUCGCAUCAAUAUGACACAUAAUGAGUUGCAAGAGUUGAGAGAUAUAUGGGCUCGUUGGGAUGAGGGAACCAAACAGUUGUUCUAUUAGAACUAUGGUGAUAUACCCUACUUGCUUGGUAUUAAGGUAGACAAGCAUUUGUUUCGAUUUAUGGCUCAAUAUUGGAAUUCUGCCUACAAUUGUUUCACUUUUAGAGAAGUAGACUUGGUGCCUACUGUGGAGGAAUAUACUACCCAGCUGAGGUGUCCAAAAUUUCAAGUUAGAAAAGCUUACGCUAAGGUUUUUAAUGGUCCAACUUUUGCGAAGAAAUUGAUGAAUAUUUCGGGGAUGAGUGAUCCUUGGGUCACUGCUCGAAUUAAACAAAAGGGGGAUAGUAAAUGUAUUCCUUAGGAGAAUUUGAGAGAUUUUGUUUUAACGCAUUUGGGUGAAAGGAAGAGGGUCGAUAUAUUCGCCUUAAGCAUCUAUGGAUUGGUAAUUUUUCCUAAGGCUUUAAGGCAUGUGGAUGAGGUAGUCACUGACUUAUUUAAUCAUUUUGAGAAGGGAAUCACACCUGUACCUACAAUACUAUCUGAGACGUUCAAAUCCUUGAGCAUGUGUUGGAAGGCAGGCGAGGGGAGAUUUAUUGGAUGUGCACAGCUGUUUAUGGUAUGGUUUCAUGGGCAUUUUUGGAAAGUAAAUAGGGUUUCUUACUGGGUCUUCUCUGAAAGCUAUUCCCCAUUAAAAGAGGAGGCAACUAUGUAAAGGAGAGAUGAUAUUUCAGAGGAGAAAUGGAUGGAAAUUCUUCAAAAUCUCAAGGAGGAGGAUAUAGAGUGCAGAGCUUUUUGGAUGGUUCCUGAUGAGAUCCUGUAUCGACGUGGGAACUUUGUUUGGGUACCAUUGUCAGGAAUUUGGGGAGCCACUGGGUAUACUUCAUUGCUUGCAUUAAUGCAGUAUAAAUCGAGGCAGUUUGUACCCAUGACUUACGGACUGGCUCAGUGUGAAUUCCCAUAUAAAGGUGACCACUAUAAGAAGAAAGUUCAGGAACUAUCUGAUGCUUGGAACCAAACUCGCUGGAUGAAGAGGUUGGCUGUUGGUUCCAUGGUGACACCUAAAUACAAUGGAUGGUUCAGAAAAAAGGUCAAUGAUAAUAUUCCUAGACCAAGUGUAGAAGUUACCCGACCAAUGGAGGAACAAUUACAAGUCACCCCGUCAGAGUUGGAAAUUAUAAAGCAGGACUUUGAGAAGAAGAGUUCUAAGCUUGGGAAAAAGAUGGAGCAGUUGGAGGAAGAAAGAAUGCACCUGAAAUUAGAUGUGGAGGUUCAGAAGUUAGAGGUAGAAAAGUUACGAAAAAGGAAGAAUGAAGUUGAGAAAGAUUUGGAAGGUUAGAAGACAGAUUAUAAGAAGUUACGCUUGUCGAUGAGGACUACUGGGUUAGGUAAAACUUCAGAGCAAUGGCGUUAGAAAAUUCGAGAAGAAAAGACUAAGGCUAAUCAAUGGGAAAAGAGGUUCCAGAAGGCUCAAGCUCAAAAUGAGGCUUUGGAGAAAAGUCUAUCAGAGAGUAAAAAUGAGCAAGACGAAUUAAGGGCUAGAGUAGCGGAACUUGAGAGAUCUCUAUGUCUGUACUGGAAUCGCAAUUCUGUGAUGGAGUUGAGAGCAAGCUUAAGCAAGAUUGAAGAGAUGAAGGGAAAAUAGAAGAAUUAGAGACGACAUUGCAAAGUUGUGAAAUGAGGAUCGAAUUCUUGGAGGCAAAUGAAGAACAGUGGAAAUGACAGCUUCAUCACUUGCAAAACCAAGUUAGAAGCAAGGAUUACAUUAUGGGAGAAGCUGUAACACAAAUUCGGGAGGUAGUUGAUUACUUGUAGACUUUGGCGGUACAAACAGACAUAUUAAGUGUGAAGUGUAAGCUGGAAUUAGAUAGGGGGUAGGAGAUAGCCUCGUUGCUUAGGAAAAUUAAGGCUCUGAGUAUUAGGGCGAAGUCUUAUUUGUAACUCAAUUUUAUGUAAAGAAUUUUGUUUUCUAGUAAAGUUUUCUAUAUGAAAUUGAAUCAGAAUUGAUGCCUCCUUUGCAUUCAUGCAUUUGCAUUACAUUACAUCAUAUGCAUUAAAGGCUAUAACAAGAUUCUAAUUAAUUAAAAAUUAUUUCAGUAAUCUGGAAACCAACAAAAACACACCAAAUACGCAUCCCUGCGGUACAAGGAAAAAGACUAAGUCAGUGGACAAAAGGCUUGAAAAGUUAAAGCAAAUGCAAAAGGAUAUGCAAGAACAAAUGCAGUCAUAGAUACAAGAGCAGCUAGCUAAGAUUCAACAAGAGAUGAAGGAUCAAAUGAUGGAAUCCCAAAAAGAGAUGAUGAGUCAGUUGUCCCAAUUGUUGAUGGGAAGAAUGGAUAUGGGAAAAGGUCUUAUGGGUAACAUUGGGGAAAAUAAUGAAGACCCUCAAUAUCCUCCUGGCUUCACUCCUACACAUGUACAGACACAACCUAAGGUUAAUUUGUAGAAACCAUCUGUUACGGUCAGGCCUCAAAAGUUUCAGGCUGGAGUGUCAAUACCAAUGAAUUUUCAAGCUGGUUUAGGUUUUAAUCCUGGUAACAACUCAAAUAAUCCAAUGGUCCCUGAUUUGGAUAAAGUUGUGAAGGAGGAAAGAGUAAGGGCAGAGUCACAAAAAUAGUUAGAAGAACGGUGUAAAUGGAUGGAGGAAUAAGUUAGGGCAAUGGAACGCGUUGAUAGACAUCCUGGAAUUGAUGCAAAGGAUCUGAGCUUGGUCCUAAACUUAGUACUUCCAUACAAGUUCAAGAUGCUAGAAUUUGAGAAGUACAAUGGAACGAGCUGUCCUGAAGCUCAUAUCUCUAUGUUUUGUAGAAGAAUGACUGGGUAUGUUAAUAACGAUCAAUUGUUGAUUUAUUGCUUCCAAGAUAGUUUGGUAGGGGUAGCAGCUAAAUGGUACAAUCAGUUGAGUCGAAACAGAAUUAGUUCAUGGAGAGAUCUGGCACAAGCAUUCAUGAAUCUGUACAACAAUGUAAUAGAUAUGACCCCUGGUAGAAUUACUCUACAAAAUAUGGAGAAGAAACCAAAUGAAAGUUUCAAGCAAUAUGCAUAGAGAUGGAGGGAAGUGGCCAUCCAGGUUCAGCCGCCGCUCUUGGAGAAGGAAACUACAAUGCUCUUUAUUAAUACUUUAAAAGCUCCAUUCAUAACUCACAUGUUAGGAAGUGCAACAAGGAGUUUUGCGGAUGUGGUAAUGACGAGAGCAAUGAUUGAAGAUGCUAUAAGAAAUGGAAGGAUAGAUGCAAGAGAAAGUGCUAAAAGGUCUGCCCCGCGGAAAAAGGAAAAUGAGGUGAAUAAUGCAAAUAUGGGGUAUUCAAAGUCUGUUACUGUAAGUCAACCAAAAGCAAUAACUGCUGGUCAGGGAUUAUCAAGGCCGGAAUCUGGAACAAAGAAAAAAAAUGAGAAGCUUCAAUUUACGCCAAUCCCCAUGACAUAUAAAGAAUUAUAUCAAAGUUUGUUUGACACACAUGUAGUGGCACCUUUUUAUCUAAAGCCGUUACAGCCUCCGUUCCCUAAAUGGUACAAUGCCAAUGCUCAAUGUGAGUAUCAUGCGGGGAUCAUAGGGCAUUCGAUAGAAAAUUGUACUACUUUUAAGAAGUUGGUCGAGAGAUUUAUUCAAAUGGGAAUUGUGAAGUUCGAUAAUGCGCCCAGUACAGAAAUUCCGCUACCUAAGUAUAUUGACAGCGGGGUAAAUGCAAUAGGUGGAGGUAUGGGAAAAAGAACCAAGGUGGAUGUUUCAGAAGUAAAAACUCAUUUGAAUUGGGUUUGGAAGGAGAUGGCAAGAAAAGGGUUAGUUACUUCGAGUUCAGAAGGAAGUGAUGAUGAGAUAGAGAAUUACUGUGAAUUCCAUCAUGAAGAGGAACACGGAAUUCAGGAAUGUGAAGAGUUCAGAGUUGUUAUCCAAGGCCUAAUGGACAACAAGGAAAUAGAAUUUUAUGAAGAGGUUAAGGAGGAGGAGUAUAUAUGCGUGUUAGAAUCCACAAAAGUUAAUUAUCCUGUGGUUAUUAUUUCAUGUCCUAUGAAUGAUGCAGGAAUUUAGAUGACACCGAAGAUCAUAAUUCAAAAGCCAACGAUUUUUGCUUACAAGGAUAACAAAAGGGUCCCUUGGAAUUAUGAUUGUAAUGUGAUAGUCUCGGGAAAGAAGAGUUUAGUUAGCCCAUUAAAGGAGGAUCAAAAUAUAGGAUCUCACACGCGUAGUGGAAGACAAUAUGAUUUGAAGAAUGCCUGAACAGAGCCUGUAAAAGGAAAAGAUGUGAUAGUUGAACAGAAAAGGGGAAAGGUGGUCGAACCUGGGGUACCUGUUAAUGAACCGGUAAAAGAAAAGGAAGCUAAAGAAUUCUUGAAAUUUCUGAAACAUAGCAAGUACAGUGUGGUAGAACAGUUGCAUAAACAACCAGCCCGCAUAUCCAUAUUGGCUUUGCUUCUAAGCUCAGAGGUACACCGAAGUGCAUUAAUGAAAGUGUUGAACGAGACGUACGUAACUAGUGAUAUUUUUGUGAAUAAGUUGGAUCGGUUGGUUAAUAACAUAAGUGCAGACAAUUUCAUCUUUUUCAAUGAUGGUGAGAUACCACCAAGAGGUAGGGGAUCUACCAAGGCUUUACAUAUAACCACCAGGUGUAAAUGAUACACAUUGCCAGGGGUUCUGGUUGACAAUGGGUUGGCAUUAAAUGUAUUGCCCUUUUCCACAUUAAACAGGUUACCUGUGGAUAGCUCACACAUGAAGGGAUGUCAGAAUAUAGUGAGAGCAUUUGAUGGCACGGAAAAGAGAGUCAUAGGAAGAAUAGAAGUACCUUUGUUAAUUGGCCCAACUACAUAUGAGGUAGAUUUCUUAGUGAUGGAUAUUAAGCCCUCUUACAACUGCCUGUUAGGGAGACCUUGGAUACAUUCGGCAGGGGCAGUGCAUUUGUCAUUACAUCAGAAGUUAAAGCUAGUAUCAGAAUGUAACACUCCUAACCUGUAUCCAUUGCCGGAAUAAGGUUAUGAGGUAUUACUUGACUGAACAAAACUUCUACAAGGUCAAAGAUACUUACCAGACAUAAAUUAUCAACAAUGCAAACAUGUCUCAUUGAUUUUCCAUAAGAGCUCUUAUAAAUUUCCAAAAUGACUCACUAUCAAAACAUAACCGAAUAUCUAAUAACAAAUUAACUACUAUCAAGUUAUAACUAAAACAUUUCACCAUAUUAGUUCAAUUAUAAGGCUUCUCUAAACAAAAUGAGCAAGCCAUCUUCGCAUGGCUAGAAUGUAUACAAAGUCGAAAUAUCAUUCUACCUAUAGUCUAUCCUAUACAUGCCUUAAACCAUGAUGAUAUACAAUCUUCUCAACUCACAUAAUGACUCGAUAGUGUGAUGAUAUCUCCGGCCCUUCCAACUCGAGCUAAAGUAUAUACCUAUAAGAAAUGGAAAAGAGAACACGGAGUAUGUAACAGCCUAAUUUAGACCCUAAUCGGAACGGUGGUUUCGGGACCAUGAAUCCGAGUUAGAAAAAUAUUUUAAAAUUAUUUUCUAUGUUUACCAUGUGUGAAUUUAUAUAUGUGAAACUUUCGUGUUUUAAUUUUGUUGUUUGAGUGGUCGAUUUAAUAAAAGGGCUUAAUUGCAUAAAAUGUAAAAUUUGUAUGCUAAUUGUUAAAGUGCCUAAUUGCUUUGUUCUUUUAAUGUGGAGUACUUAUAAUGCAAUUAUACCAUUGAAAUUGGCAUGUACACAUUCGGUCACUAGUUAGUGGGUGGAAAUAAUAUUAUAAUAAUAUUAAAGUUAUAAUAUAAGUAAUAAUAUGUAUAUAUUAUAACAUAAAUUAAAAACAACCAUGCAUGUUCUUUAUUAUUGCCGAAACUAAAGAAAAUAAGAAAGAAAAGAAAGCUUUAAGGGUUCGGCAACUUAUUAAGCUCAAUCAAGGUAUGUAAUUAGCUCGGUUUUUGAUAAUUUUUACGUUUUUGAGAUCGUUGUUAAGUUAUCUACAAGACCCAUGCUAGAAUUUCUGAUUUUGAUGAAUGUUUUAAGUUAUGCCAUUGAUGAAUAUUUGUGUUUUGAGAUGUUUGAUGAUGAGAUAUUAAAAAUAUGUUUUAGAUUAUCAUGUUUUGUAUUGGAGUUUUUAAUGAUUUUGAGUAAUUAGGACUAAAUUGUGAAAAUAAUAAAUUGAGGGACUAAAAUGUGAAAUAAAUGAAAUAAAUGAAAUAAAUGGACUAGUAUGAGAAUAAGGAAUAUUCGACCUAACAAUGUUGUUGUGAGAUUUUGCAUAUUUUGUGUUUUAUGCAAUAGGGACUAAAUUGUGAAAAAUGUGAAAUAUCAGGGGUAAAAUUGAAAUUUGCCCAUUUGUGUGUUUUUGGAUGAAUUUGGUUGAAUAUUUGAUUUGAUAAAUUUAAUUUAUAUUAAUUUAGAUCAAGAAAAGAGAAAAUCGGAUUUAGAUCGGGGAAAAAGUAAAGUUGUUGACUAGCCGAUCCGUACCGGUUUUUCAUAGUCCAAGGUAAGUCUUUAAGCAAUUAAAUAUCAUUUUUUUAUAACUUAGUUUAAUAUGCUGUUUGGAAUCUAUUGAUUCAUAAAAGAGCUAGUCGAAUGCGUUUGAGCAUAGAAAUAUUAUAUUUGAGUUUAAUUCGACAGAGUUAUAUCAUUUAAAAGUUUGUAUGAUCUAUAUGGAAUAUAUGGAGUUUUUGUUAUAUGAAUUGUGUCCGAGACAGCAUUAUAAUAGGGAUAUUUGGGCUUUCAGCCUAGCAAGCUUUAUGCUGGUGAAUGUAAUCGGGCUUUAUGCCUAGCAGGUUAUUGCCGGUGAAUAAUAUCAGACUUUGAGUCUAGCAGGCCUUGUGCCGGUGUGUGAUUCAGGCUUAUGCCUAGAAGGUUUUAUACCGGUGAUUUAUUUUCAAGCCUAUGCUUAUAAGAUUACGAGUUGAGGUGGAAAUUGAUGAAGUAAAUUGAGCUAAAUGAUCUUGUAUUUAUUCGGCCACAUAGGUAUGUACAUAUGUGACGUUAUAUUGAAUCUUGAAUAUUUGACCAUGAAGGUAUGCACAAAAGUGAUAUUAUAUUUGAAUUUGUAUAUUCAGCCAUAUGAGUAAGUACUUAGGUGAUGUUAAAUUUGAUCUUGCAUUUUUGGCCAUAUAGGUAUGCACAUUUGUGAUAUUAUCUUUGAUUCUCUAUAAUCGACUAAAUGAGUGAUGUUGGCUUAUAAAGUUGAGUUUGAUUGACGAGUAUAUAUAUAUAUUUGAAUGUAAACAUAUUUGAGAUAAUGUUAUUUUGAGAAUGAAAAGUUGAAUAACAUUAUGCUAAAUGUGAAUUGUUGGCAUUCGGCCAAGGUAACCCUUUUGUGUAAAAGUAUAAGUUAGAAAUAAAUAAAAGAGAUGAUAUGAUCGAGAUAAUGUACAACAUCAAUGUUUUAAUUUGGUUAAUUUUUAAUGUUUGAUUAUUAUUUUAAAUGUUAAAAUUGCUUAUGACUUAUUAAGCUAAGUUAGCUUACUCUGUGUGUGUCUUUGUUACUCUGUUUUAUAGAUUUUGUUGUAAGUUACGAGCUCGGGGAUCGUCAGAAAAGUCAUCCACGCUAUCGCCAACCUUCGGUACUUUUAAAAGUCUAUUUUCAAACUUAUGGCAUGUAUAGGCUAAUAUGUAUUUUGUUCGACCUUGAAUAUGUAUAACUUUAGCCAUGCGAAAAUGGCUUAAUUUUCAUGAUAGAUUCGUUCAUAAUUGGAUAUGGUUUGAGCUUACUUUUAGUUGAUGUGUUAUAAAUUAUAUGUGAAUGAAGUAUGUGAUAUAUGUGGUAUGUUUUAAAAUGGUUAAUUGAUGUUAGUAAAUUUGAAAGUGGAUUGAUGUAAUGAUCACUAUAUAUAUAUAGAUUUCAUGAUAUAAUUAUUUGUUCGGUUUAGGUUUUUAGUUUGAGUAAAAUAUAUUUGAAUAAUGAGUUUAGAAAAUGUAAUUUAUAAGAUGUUUAUACAUGUUUUCAUAUGUGAAUAUAUAUUUGUUAAUGAAAAUGUGAUUAUUCGAAAGGUAUAGAUUCGGUUGAAUUUUGAGGUAUGAUUUGUAAAUGCAAUAUGAUAAAUAAAGUAUGUUUAUUAUUUAAUUAGUUAUAUGCUUAAUAUAAUUAUGAGUAUGACUUAUAUGAAUAAGUGAAUGUUUGGAAUUUUGUUUUUGUUCAGUAACGCCUCGCGACCCUAGUCCGGCGACGGGUACGGGUUAGGGUGUUACAGAGUAAGCUUCAAUGCUUAGUAAGUUUUAAGCAAUGCAAACAAUCAAUUUACUUAUAGAUCGAUUAUUCAAAUUUUUAAGAAAUCAUUCCUAGAUAAUUGCCAUUUUGGCCAAGUAUCCAUGAACAUAAUGCAUAUUUAGCAAAUUCACCUCACUUGAAUCUGAACUCAAUUAAAACCAAAUAUUGAAAUUACAAAUAAGAUCAUAAGAACUCGAAAAGCAUCUCAUUAACAAGUUUUAACCAUGUUUGCAACAAAAUCACAAAUUCACUACAAGCUAUCUUCCUGAGCAACAGUCACUAAAUUAUUUAUAACUGGAGCUAAGAAACACCAAAUCAAGUGUCGUUAAUUUUCCCUGAAAAUAGACUCAUAUAUCUUCCAUCCAUCAAAUUUUCAGAAUUUUUGGUUUCACCAAUCAAUACCAGAUUUUUAUUGAAGUUUCCCCUAUUUCACUGUUUGACUAAUCUGACCACUCUUCACUACGAAUCAAAUUUCUCAUUAUAUAGAAUUUGAAAUAUGUUAUCGUUUAUUUCAUUUGAAACUAGACUAAUUACGGAGUCUAAUAAUAUAAAUUUUAUCUUAUAACCAUUUUUGUACCAUUUAUAAUGCUUUUCUGAAAACAGAAUAGGGGACCUCGAAGUUAUUUUGACUCUAUUCCACGCCACUUCAAACAUCUCAUUAUUGGCAACUCUUUUGCUUACAUAGUUUCUUUUAUAAAAAACUAGACUCAUUAAGAUUUCAUGACAUAAUUUAUUCAGCCUCUAACUCAACUUCCACAAUUUAUGGUGAUUUUCCGAAAUCACGUUACUGCUGCUGUCCCAAGCAGAUUUAUUACCCAUUCUUUGGAUUCAUAUUAUUUAACAUGUAUAUCACCAAAUCAAUCUCAUAUAACCUUUCACCAUAACCGAAUACACACAUACACAUAUGAGAUUUUCACAUAUACUUCUCAUUUCACAUUCAUGAUUCAAUUUCGAUCAAUCUAACAUAUAAAAGUAUAUACUACAUACCUGAUCAACUUAAUGUAUUGAACAUAUUCAAUGGUAGUUUACUACGAACAUUCAAAAUCAUAAUCUUACUCCAAUCAUCGGCAUUAAGUCUGCUAGAUUUAAAACCCAAAUCCAAUCACCACCACAAAGCAUUCGGGACUUUAAGCCCGGAUAUAAUACCAGCACAAAGCCUGCGGGACUUUAGCCCGGAUAUAACACCAGCACGAAUGCCUUCGGGACUUACCCUGGAUAUAAACCAGCACGAAUGCCUUCGGGACUUAGCCCGGAUAUAACACCAGCACGAAUGCCUUUGGGACGUAGCCCGGAUAUAAUACCAGCACGAAUGCCUUCGGGACUUAGCCCAGAUAUAAUACCAGCACGAAUGCCUUCGGGACUUAGCCCGGAUAUAAUUCUCCAUUAUCAUGCACAUAUAUAUAUAUCAUAACACAUUAGCAUUUCAUUUACAUUAUUUGAACACAAGCACAACAUGCUUAUCAACCAUUCCACUUUCGUUUCGCUAUCCAACAUGAUUUCUAUAACCAUUCGGCUACAAGUCAUAUGCACAAAUUAUUUAUCCCACUACGUAAUUCAAGUAGAACCAAUAGGUCACAAUUUAAUUAUUAUGCUUAUAUACAAUGAUUUUAUCAAAUCAUAAGCUAAGUUUCAUUACUCAAAGACUUACCUUGACUAUCGUCGAAUGACUACGGAUAUGCUAUUCGGUUAGUUUAGCUUUUUCCCUUAUCCGAAUUAGACUCCUUAAGGUCUUGAGCUAGAUUAAACAAAUUCACUUGUCACUAAUUCAUUAAUCAUGCCUUUUAUUCGGUUAUAUUAUAAUUCGCUCAUAACAAGAAUUUCAACUAUUACUUAAAAAUGCAUUCGGCAGCACAUACAUUUCAAAACCAAUAUAAUUCUUUCAUUCAUGAACACAUUCGGCUAUGUUAAAAUAAAUUUUUAACAAUUUAAGCAUCCUCUUCUAUCAACUAAUAUGAGAUUUCAUACAUUAACAUUUCACUCAAUUGACAUAUUAAAUAUUUUAACCCUCCUUCACUACAUGACAACAAAACCUCAACCAUUUAACAUAUAACAACAAUUUUCCUCAAUUCAUCUCCUAAGUUCACUUUUGGCUCUUACACAACAAAUAAAUAAUUAACUUUUAAUUUCAAUAUUUAGCAAACUCAAACAUUAUCUUUCAUCCAUUACUAAUUCAAAACAUUAAAAUAUUCAAGAUCCAACACAUAGUAGCCAAAACCGAAUAUCAUAAGCUAAUGACUUCACCUUAAACUAACUUAUUAAGCCUUUAAUUCAACUUCUAACCAUCUCACAUUUAAAAUUAUCCAUCAUCUAAUCUUCAUGCUUACAUGCCAUAACAGUAUGGUUCUUAUCACACUUGGACCACAAAAUGCAUAAAUUUCACAAAUUCUAAUUACUAUCAUAAGCUCAAUUUCGGCUAACACUCAAUUAAAUACUUACAAUUUAGCACUAAUUUAGCAUUUCAACAUAGCCGAUUGUCAUUAAGCAACUAAGCCACAAAUAUUAAAUUUUAUCAAACUCAACCAAUUCAAGAAUUAACAAGCUCAAACCUUAUCCUUCUACCAUAUCUAUUUCAAAACAUUAACACACUAUCCAUGAAGUAGAAAACUUCCAUGGCCGAAUAUACAUGACAACACCAAACUUAAAAUUUACACCUGGGCUAAGUAAAAGACUUAGCAACUAUCUCAAAUUCACUAAAAUUUUAAAAGCAAACUCAUGGAACAUACCUUAAUUCAAGAUAUCUAAAGGACCGAAUGCUUAGCUUCAACCUUUCUUUCACUUACGGCAAUGGAAGAAGGAAUAUGGAAAACAUUGUUUUUUUUUGUCACCCUUUUUCCUUUUAUUUAAUUUUGUUUUCAUGUUUUAAAUUCAUUUCAUUUAAUAAUGUAUAUAUAUAAAAUACAUAUAUUUAACUCAAGCAAUCAACAUGGUCGGCCACUAAUUUGGAAAUGGCAAAAUUGACAUGAAAAUCCUCAUCUAUUAAAUCAUAUAAUUUUUGGCCAUUAAAAAAAAUUUAACCAAGCACAUUUUCUAAGUUUCCAACUUAAGUCCUAUUUAAUGAUUUCACAUUCAAAUGAUAAAAAUCAUUGCAUCAAUUUUUCACACAUGCAUUAUCUCAUAUAAUAGACAUGAAAUUUAACAUUUAAUUAUUUUCAUGACUCGAUUUUGUGGUCCCGAAACCACUUCCCGACUAGGGUCAAAUUAGGGCUAUUACAACUCUCCCCCCCUUAGGGAUUUUUGUCCCCGAAAAUCUUAUCAACAAAAAUAUUUUUCAUUCUAAAAACGUUUUCAAAAAUUUCGGAAUCACAAAUUUCCAUUCAUCACAUGUAUCUCCUUUUACCAACAAUCUCUAAACUUUAAUUCACACUAACAGAUCACAUUGGCAGACUAUAUUAUGAAUAUCUCAACAACUUUGUCGAUCGGAAUUUUGUACAUACUAAACUGAAGACACAGAUUCUUCCUUGUUAAAAGAUCGAUCAUGACCCAAUGACAUUUCUUUUUUAGAAGACAAAUAAAAUUUUUAUUCGGUUUGGAUAUCAAUUCUGUCUCAUAACCACUUCUAAUACAUCCCUGGUUGCUUUUAUUCCAUAUACACAAAAUUUCAACUCUGACAGAUAGCAACUUGUCAUUUGAAUAUAGUUCUGAAAUAUGCUACAAUACACAGUCACUUAUACACCUGAUCCAUAUAUCUGUAUUAUUUAUUUUAACUCAGAUAAACAAAAUUUCACAGUCGGAGCUCAUAUAAAAAUCCUUUAACCCAUCUGAAUACUUAUUCCAUAUUAGAACAAUAAUAACAUUAACAGAAAUUUCAUAUGUCCAGACAUCCAUAAUUGAAUAACAGUUACUCUGAACUUAUUUUGAACUAUCACAUCUCAAUAUACUUUUAUACUUCUCAAUUUCACUAGAAGAAUAGACCUUGCUUAAUGUUCAAUACUUUUAUUCCUUGGUUCAAGAAACAUUCAAAUUUUUCCCUCGAAUACUCGAAACUGUCAAAUAUGCAACACUGACACAACCACAAUCAUCUCUAAUCAUUAGCCGAACAGUUCUUUUUAUAAUAACUUUAACAUUUGUCUCUGAAUCUUUAACAAAUUCAAUCAUACAUAUAAUCCGAGUUAAACCACACAAUUGAAUCAGUCUUGUCUAACAAAUAAUAACUUUUCAAGACCAAUUUUCUUUGUGCAUGUCGUAACUCUUCAAAUAUACAUUCUAUUAGAUCUCUUCAGAUAACUAAUCAAAAUUCAUUAUCACUGCGUAACUCGAAAGAACAUAACACUCAAUCUUUAACUCACUGAUAUAUAAGUGAAAACCAAUCCACAGGUCUGAGCUGAAUUCUCUAUCAUUCAGACCCUUAUUUAUGGCCAUUCCUUUCAUAAGAAUCAAAGAAAUCCAAAUAUAUAAUCAUUAUAAACAUAAUUGUUUCAGAUAAAAAAAUAUAUACACUUUAGAACUGAGCCAUAUCUAAUUAUUCAUAUAAGAAAAAUGAAAAGAAAACCAGAACACAGAAAUCCAAAAUACAAUGUCGCAUCAGAAAUCCUAGAAUAGAAUCUCCCAGAACAUAGAAAUAAAGAUCAAAAUAACUCCUCAGAGAAUACCAGAAGAAGACUAUAAUUAAUAACCUUGAAAUUUCCUCUAUAACAGAAAUAACACAUUCUUCAACAUUUUUAUAAGAUGGAAUGCCAAUCAAUAGAAACAGAAGAAUAACCUCAUAUGAAUUUAUCCCCAAAUUCAUUCCGAUCAUACUACAAUGAAUUCUCAAACAGAGGAAUACGAUGAUACCGAUUAUAAACCAAUCAAAAUAGCAAUACUUUUAUUAAACAUCGGAGUCAGAUAACAUUCUCACUUUAUAGCAUUUUCAUCAGAAAAAGGAACAAUCACACAUGUGUCUCUGAGAAUAAGAAAUAUACAGAAUAUUCAAAAGAAAUCAUCGAAAUUCACUUGACUGUAAUUAUUCAAUUCAGACACUCUUACUAUUCAUUCGUCAUUUUGAAUUCCAUUCUAUUUCAUUCACUAAUGAAAACCACUCAGGAAGAAUUCCCUACAGAUACAUACCUAGACAUCAUAUCUGAUUGAAUUAAAUUACCAGACCAACUUUCUUUUACUAAUGACAAUAUUCAAUCUGAAGAACCUUCGGGACAUUGUACAAGUCCUUCCAGCCUUAAUUCAUUGCCAAAUCGUUCUGAACUUUGCUUACUUUAUCAUUAUCUCACUAUUUAACUCUUUAAUCUUUCUUUGCAAACUCGUUCUAUUUCGUUCCAUUGAAACCUUAUAAUCAUAUCACCGGUAAGGGGGUGAGGUCGUUAAGCCUCGAAAGGGAGUUUCAUAUUUGAAUACACAGAUAAAUUCAUCACUCAUCAUCAUAGUAUUACACACUUUGAUUCAAACACUUCAUUCAAAUAUUUCAAUUUUUUUCAUCUUGUUACAAACACAUUUUCACAUAUCUCAAUUUCACAUGCAACUUUAUUUCAUGUGAGUAUUAACAAAACAUAAGUGAAUUUAUCACGAUUCAAACUUUCAUUUCUAUUACUCAAAUUACCAAAUAAUUUCUUAUCAAAUUUCCAUAUUUAGUCUUGAUCAUUUGUCAAUAUUUAUCCCAUUGAAAAACGUCUUCCGGUUUUGAGUACGUCGCUUACUUGAUGCCAUAGUCCAACUAUGGUAUUUUCUGUCAAUUCAUUAUUGAACGAUCGUACUCAUUCCCUGCGUUCUACCCAAUUUGAUCUUUCAUUACCAUUUACUUUAUACAAUCUCAUACAUAUCUUUACACUGAUGCACACAUAUCAUAAAAUUCUUUUCAUACCUUUUCAAUUCCAUCAUAUCACAUAUAUAUAACAAUCAGUUCAAUAUCAAUUUCAAAUCAAUUAAUAAUAACUCGGUUGGAAUACAUCAUUUCCUGAGCAAAACAAUUUAUAAAAGCCGGGAGACCUCACACUAUCACACUUUACUUACAGCAUGUAUAGCUAGACUCUUACACUUGCUAUGUUAGUCCGAGAAUCGACUAAACCAUAGCUCUGAUACCACUAAAUGUAACACUCCUAACCUGUAUCCGUUGCCGGAAUAAGGUUAUGAGAUAUUACUUAACUGAACAAAACUUAUAUAAGGUCAAAGAUACUUACCAGACAUAAAUUAUCAACAAUGCAAACAUGUCUCAUUGAUUUUCCAUAAGAGCUCUUAUAAAUUUCCAAAAUGACUCACUAUCAAAACAUAACCGAAUAUCUAAUAACAAAUUAACUACUAUCAAGUUAUAACUAAAACAUUUCACCACAUUAGUUCAAUUAUAAGGCUUCUCUAAACAAAAUGAGCAAGCCAUCUUUGCAUGGCUAUAAUGUAUACAAAGUCGAAAUAUCAUUCUACCUAUAGUCUAUCCUAUACAUGCCUUAAACCAUGAUGAUAUACAAUCUUCUCAACUCACAUAAUGACUCAAUAGUGUGAUGAUAUCUCCAGCCCUUCCAACUCGAGCUAAAGUAUAUACCUAUAAGAAAUGAAAAAGAGAACACGGAGUAAGCUUCAAUACUUCGUAAGUUUUAAGCAAUGCAAACAAUCAAUUUACUUAUAGAUCGAUUAUUCAAAUUUUCAAGAAAUCAUUCCUAGAUAAUUGUUAUUUUGGCCAAGUAUCCAUGAACAUAAUGCAUAUUUAGCAAAUUCACCUCACUUGAAUCUGAACUCAAUUAAAACCAAAUAUUUAAAUUACAAAUAAGAUCAUAAGAACUCGAAAAGCAUCUCAUUAACAAGUUUUAACCAUGUUUGCAACAAAAUCACAAAUUCACUACAAGCUGUCUUCCUAAGCAAUAGUCACUAAAUUAUUUAUAACUGGAGCUAAGAAACACCAAAUCAAGUGCCGUUAAUUUUACCUGAAAAUAGACUCAUAUAUCUUCCAUCCAUCAAGUUUUCAGAAUUUUUGGUUUGACCAAUAAAUACCAGAUUUUUAUUGAAGUUUCCCCUGUUUCACUGUGUGACUAAUCUGACCACUCUUCACUACGAAUCAAAUUUCUCAUUAUACAGAAUUCAAAAUAUGUUAUCGUUUAUUUCAUUUGAAACUAGACUCAUUAGGGAGUCUAAGAAUAUAAAUUUUAUCUUAUAACCAUUUUUUUACCAUUUAUAAUGAUUUUCUGAAAACAGAAUAGGGGACCUCGAAUUCAUUUUGACUCUGUUCCACGCCACUUCAAAUAUCUCAUUAUUGGCAACUCUUUUGCUUACACGGUUUCUUUUAUAAGAAACUAGACUCAUUAAGAUUUCAUGACAUAGUUUAUUCAGCUUCUAAAUCAACUUCCAUAAUUUAUGGUGAUUUUCUGAAAUCACAUUACUGCUGCUGUCCCAAGCAGAUUUAUUACCCAUUCUUUGGAUUCAUAUUAUUUAACAUAUAUAUCACCAAAUCAAUCUCAUAUAACCUUUCACCAUAACCGAAUACACACAUACACAUAUGAGAUUUUCACAUAUACUUCUCAUUUCGCAUUCAUGAUUCAAUUCCGAUCAAUCUAACAUAUAAAAGUAUAUAAUACAGACCUGACCAACUUAAUGUAUUGAACAUAUUCAAUGGUAGUUUACUAUGAACAUUCGAAAUCAUAAUCUUACUCCAAUCAUCGGCAUUAAGUCUGCUAGAUUUAAAACCCAAAUCCAAUCACCACCAUAAAGCAUGCGGGACUUUAAGCCCAGAUAUAAUACCAGCACAAAGCCUGCGGGACUUUAGCCCGGAUAUAACACCAGCACGAAUGCCUUCGGGACUUAACCCGGAUAUAACACCAGCACGAAUGCCUUCGGGACUUAGCCCGGAUAUAAUACCGGCACGAAUGCCUUCGGGACUUAGCCCGGAUAUAACACCAGCACGAAUGCCUUCGGGACAUAGCCCGGAUAUAACACCAGCACGAAUGCCUUCGAGACUUUGCCCGGAUAUAAUUCUCCAUUAUCAUGCACACACACAUAUAUAUAUCAUAAUACAUUAGCAUUUCAUUUACAUUAUUUGAACACAAGCACAACAUGCUUAUCAACCAUUCCACUUUCGGCUCAAUAGCCACAUACAAAGAACACGAUUUCGUUUCGCUAUCCAACAUGAUUUCUGUAAUCAUUCGGCUACAAGUCAUAUGCACAAGUUAUUUAUCCCACUAUGUAAUUCAAGUAGAACCAAUAGGUCACAAUUUAUUUAUUAUGCUUAUAUACAAUGAUUUUAUCAAAUCAUAAGCUAAGUUUCAUUACUCAAAGACUUAGCUCGACUGUCGUCGAAUGACUACGGAUAUGCUAUUCGGUUAGUUUAGCUUUUUCCCUUAUUCGAAUUAGGCUCCUUAAGGUCUUGAGCUAGAUUAAACAAAUUCACUUGUCACUAAUUCAUUAAUCAUGCCUUUUAUUCGGUUAUAUUACAAUUUGCUCAUAACAAGAAUUUCAACUAUUACUUAAAAAUGCAUUCGGCAGCACAUACAUUUCAAAACCAAUAUAAUUCUUUCAUUCAUGAACACAUUCGGCUAUGUUAAAAUAAAUUUUUAACAAUUUAAGCAUCCUCUUCUAUCAACUAAUAUGAGAUUUCGUACAUUAACAUUUCACUCAAUUGACAUAUUAAAUAUUUUAACCCUCCUUCACUACAUGACAACAAAACCUCAACCAUUUAACAUAUAACAACAAUUUUCCUCAAUUCAUCUCCUAAGUUCACUUUUGGCUCUUACACAACAAAUAAAUAAUUAACUUUUAAUUUCAAUAUUUAGCAAACUCAAACAUUAUCUUUCAUCCAUUACUAAUUCAAAACAUUAAAAUGUUCAAGAUCCAACACAUAGUAGCCAAAACCGAAUAUCAUAAGCUAAUGACUUCACCUUAAACUAACUUAUUAAGCCUUUAAAUCAACUUCUAACCAUCUCACAUUUAAAAUUAUCCAUCAUCUAAUCUUCAUGCUUACAUGCCAUAACAGUAUGGUUCUUAUCACACUUGGACCACAAAAUGCAUAAAUUUCACAAAUUCUAAUUACUAUCAUAAGCUCAAUUUCGGCUAACACUCAAUUAAAUACUUACAAUUUAACACUAAUUUAGCAUUUCAACAUAGCCGAUUGUCAUUAAACAAUUAAGCCACAAAUAGUAAAUUUUAUCAAACUCAACCAAUUCAAGAAUUAACAAGCUCAAACCUUAUCCUUCUACCACAUCUAUUUUAAAACAUUAACACACUAUCCAUGAAGUAGAAAACUUCCAUGGCCGAAUAUACAUGACAACACCAAACUUAAAAUUUACACAUGGGCUAAGUAAAAGACUUAGCAACUAUCUCAAAUUCACUAAAAUUUUAAAAGCAAACUCAUGGAACAUACCUUAAUUCAAGAUAUCUAAAGGACCGAAUGCUUAGCUUCAACCUUUCUUUCACUUACGGCAAUGGAAGAAGGAAUAUGGAAAACAUUGCUUUUUUUGUCACCCUUUUUCCUUUUAUUUAAUUUUGUUUUCAUGUUUUAAAUUCAUUUCAUUUAAUAAUGUAUAUAUAUAAAAUACAUAUAUUUAACUCAAGCAAUCAACAUGGUCGGCCACUAAUUUGGAAAUGAAAAAAUUGACAUGCAAAUCCUCAUCUAUUAAAUCAUAUAAUGUUUGGCCAUUAAAAAAAAUUUAACCAAGCACAUUUUCUAAGUUUCCAACUUAAGUCCUAUUUAAUGAUUUCACAUUCAAAUGAUAAAAAUCAUUGCAUCAAUUUUUCACACAUGCAUUAUCUCAUAUAAUAGACAUGAAAUUUAACAUUUAAUUAUUUUCAUGACUCGAUUUUAUGGUCCCGAAACCACUUCCCGACUAGGGUCAAAUUAGGGCUAUUACACAGAAGGAUGGUUGGUGACGAUAAAUGCUGAAGAAGAUAUUAUCCCAGCUGUAAGCUGUGAUGUGCCAUAUGUAGAAACAGAUGAUGAAGCAAUUGAGUGUUUUUUUUAUCUUUGGAGUUUGUAAAUGCCACAUUCAUCACUGAGGGAAGUAGAAUUUUGGAGCCAAAAAUGUCUAAAACUACGAUGAUGGGUUUACUGUUGAUGGUAGGAUGUGGAGCUUUACCAGGGAAGGGACUUGGGAGAUGUCUCCAGGAAAGAAUUGAGGUUCCGAUGCUAAAAGACAAGCAUGAUCGCUUUGGUUUGGGAUUCAAACCAGAUGCAAGAAAAAGGAAAAGGGAAUUGGAAAGAAGGCAGGAAAAAAGAAGAGCACGUGUGAAUGGUUGAGAAAUUAAGUGGGAACCUAUGAUAAUACCUCACAUUUCUAGGACUUUUGUAUCGGGAGGAAUCAUUUAUCCUAAACGAGGGAUGCCAGAAAAGGAAAACAUGGAAGGAGUAUUGGGAAAUGUGUACAUCAAUGCCAUAUUUGAAGAGACAAUUGAAGAGGGGAUUUCGUCAGAUAUUUGUUCAUAUGAGACUGGGAGUGUUCUAGACAAUUAGACAGCAGAAGAUAUUCCUGUAGUUUUUAGAGCGCACUCAGAGUAAUUUUCAAAACAAACUUGUUGUUUUAAGCCUAGAGGCAACAAGGCUUUCUUUGUGAAAUAGGCUCAUGUUCAAAGAUCAUUAUUUCAAUGAAAUACAUUUUUGCUAUCAUUUUGAGUAAAUAUUUUUUAUUCUUUCCACAAGUAAUUGUGUUAUUCUUUCCAUUUAAAUAAUUAUUCUGAUUCUUUUUUGGACUUUCUUCAAUUAUUCUUUAAUUUUAUUCAUAAACAUACCAUAUAGACAAUAAUUAUCAAAUUCAUUCAUUCUUUGUAUAUUUUCUGUACCUAUAAUAGGUCCUUGGAUAUCAAUAUCAUGAGUGACGCUGUUACUGACUCAGAAUCACUAUUUGAGCAAGACAUGUGUUUAGAGGGAUCUCAGGACUUUGAAGAUGACAGAGACUGUGAUUUAUCUUCGGACUUGUUAAGGAUGGUAGAAUAAGAGGAAAAGUAAAUUUCACCUCAUAAAGAAGCAGUGGACAUGGCGACUCUAGAAGAGGGGAAAGUUGUAAAAAUUGGAACAUGCAUAAUUGAAGAAACAAAGUGAGACCUUGUUGGGUUGCUUCGGGAAUUCAAGGAUGUUUUUGCAUGGUUAUACCAGGAUAUGCCUGGUUUAAGCACAGAUAUUGUAGUACAUCACCCUCCCAUAAGAGAAGAUUGCAAGCCAGUACAGCAGAAACUUUGAAGAAUGAGGCCAGAUAUUGUCUUAAAGAUAAAGGAGGAAGUUAAAAAGCAAUUUGAUGCGAAAUUCCUUCAAGUGAUCAAGUACUUAGAAUGGAUAGCCAAUGUUGUGCCUAUUCCCAAGAAAGACGGCAAGGUGCGAAUGUGUGUGGAUUAUAGAGAUCUAAAUAAGGCUAGCCUAAAGGACAAUUUCCCCUUGACUCACAUUGAUACGCUAGUGGACAAUACGACUGGCUACUCAUUGUUUUCCUUCAUGGAUGGCUUCUCGGGGUACAAUUAGAUAAAGAUGCAUCCUGAGGAUAUGGAAAAGACUACUUUUAUAACCUUGUGGGGCAUGUUCUGUUACAAGGUGAUGCCAUUUGGAUUAAAGAAUGCUGGAGCAACAUACCAAAGGGCCAUGGUAACCUUAUUUCAUGAUAUGACGCAUAAGGAGAUUGAAGUCUAUGUCGAUGAUAUGAUAGCCAAAUCCCCUACUGAAAAGGAACACAUCCAAGUAUUGAGAAAGUUGUUCAUGAGAUUGAGAAAAUUUCAGUUAAAGCUUAAUCCAACCAAGUGUACCUUUGGGGCUAGAUCUGGAAAGCUAUUGGGCUUUGUAGUCAGUGAGAGAGGAAUUGAGAUUGAUUCGAACAAAGUCCGGGCUAUACAAGAGUUGUGUUCACCACACACUCAAAAAGAAGUUUGCGGCUUACUGGGAAGACUAAACUACAUUGCUCGGUUUAUUUCUUAAUUAACAGAGAAGUGUGACCCCAUAUUUCGUCUUCUUAAAAAGCAUAACCCAGGAGAAUGGGAUGAUGAGUGCCAGAGAGCUUUUGAUAAAGUUAAAAGAUAUUUGUCGAGUCCUCUAGUGUUAUCACCUCCAAGCUUAGACAGGCCGUUGAUAUUGUAUUUAACCGUGUUUGGUAAUUCUAUGAGAUGUGUGCUUGGUCAGCAUGAUGAAUAAGGGAGAAAAGAAAGGGUGAUAUAUUACCUCAGUAAGAAAUUCACUGAGUGUGAAUUGAGAUAUUUGCCAAUUAAAAAUUUCUGUUGUGCUUUGGUUUGGACAGCUCGGAGGUUGAGGCAAUACAUGUUAUACCAUACGACUUGGUAAAUUUCAAAGUUGGAUCCUCUAAAGUAUAUAAUGGAGUUAAAUGCCUUGAAUGGAAGGAUGGCUAGAUGGCAAAUUUUGCUUUCUAAAUUUGACAUAAUCUAUGUGAGUCAAAAAGCAGUGAAAGGGAGUAGAAUAGCAGAUUUUUUGGCCAGUCGAGCUUUAGAAGAUUAUGAGCCCUUGAAUUUUGAUUUCCCCAAUGAUGAGAUAGUGUAUGUGGCAGCUACUGAAGAAGGCACUACAAAGGAUUACUCUUGGAAAUUGAAUUUUGAUGGAGCUUCGAACGCUAUGGGUAAUGGGAUUGGAGCGGUCUUGGUAUCUCCAGGUGGAGAUCAUUAUCCAUUCACAUAUAAAUAGGAUUUUGAUUGCACAAAUAAUAUGGCAGAGUAUGAAGCAUGUAUCAUGGGGCUCCGAGCAGCUAUAGAGCCCAAGAUUAAGACACUGGAAGUAUAUGGAGAUUCUACGCUGGUAAUUUACUAACUUCAAGGUGAAUGGGGGACAAGAGAUUCCAAAUUAAUCAAUUACAGAAAGUUGGUGUUGGGGUUAGUUGAAGAAUUUGAUGAUAUUACCUUCACUUAUCUCCCGCGCGAUGAAAACCAGAUGGUAGAUGCUUUGGCUACUUUGGCUUCCAUGAUCAAAGUAAGUAGACAAGAAGAUGUGAAGCCCAUUCAGAUGAGUAUUUGUGAGGCCCCGUCUUACUGUUAUAUAUAGAGGAAGAAGAGAGAGAUGAUCAUCCUUGGUAUCAGUAUAUAUUACGAUAUGUGAGAAAUCGUGAAUAUCCAAAUCAAGCCACGGAGAAUGACAAAAGGAUGUUGAGAAGGCUCGCUUGUGAUUAUGUUUUAGAUGGGGAGAUCCUGUACAAAAGAAGAAAGGAUCAAGUACUUUUGAGAUGUGUGGAUGCUGUGGAGUCUAAAAAAAUCUUGGAAGAAGUUCACGAAUGGGUUUGUGGAACGCACGUCAAUGGGUUCACAAUGGCUAGGUAAAUUAUGACGUUCGGAUAUUAUUGGUCAACCAUGGAAGGAGACUGCAUUAAUUAUGCCAAGAGAUGUCACAAAUGUCAAAUUUAUGGUGAUAAGAUUCAUGUACCUCCCUCAACUUUGCAUGUUAUGACUUCCCCAUGGCCGUUUUCCAUGUGGGGCAUGGAUGUCAUAGGUCUAAUCUCACCGAAGGCUUCAAAUAGGCAUCGUUUCAUCUUUGUGGUCAUUGAUUAUUUUACUAAGUAGGUGGAAGCUAUUUCAUAUGCCAAUGUAAAUAAAUCGGCAGUCAGCAGAUUUUUAAAGAAGGAAAUUAUAUGUCGAUAUGGGAUGCCUGAAAGGAUCAUAUCUGAUAAUGCAUUAAAUUUGAAUAACAGCACAAUAGCUGAGGUCUGCAGUCAGUUUAAGAUCAGACACCAUAAUUCAUCACCAUAUCGCCCAAAAAUGAAUAGGGCAGUGGAAGCAGCCAAUAAAAAUAUCAAAAAAAUCGUGCGAAAAAUGACCGAAACUUAUAAAUAUUGGUAUGAGAAGUUGUCAUUCGCUCUCUACGCUUAUCGAACAUCAAUCAGAACUUCUACUGGGGCAAUGUCUUUCUCAUUGGUUUAUGGAAUGGAAGCAGUUCUACCCAUUGAAGUGGAGAUACCUUCUCUCCGAGUUCUGUCAGAAUUGAAGUUAGAUGAAGCAGAAUGGAGACAAUAUCGAUAUGAUCAGUUGAAUUUGAUUGAGGAAAAGAGGCUAAGGCUAUUCAGCUUGGUCAGAUGUAUCAAAAAAGAAUGAUGUGGGCUUAAGACAAAAAGAUUCACCCAAGAGAAUUUCACGAGGGAGAUUUGGUUCUGAAAAAGGUUCUUCCUAUACAGAAGGAUUUCAGAGGAAAGUGGAUGCGAAAUUGAGAGGGGCCUUAUGUGGUGAAAAAAGCUUUCUCCGGAGGAGCAUUAAUCCUGGCUGAAAUGGAUGGAAGAAACUUGUCUAAUCCAGUGAACUCAGAUUCAGUCAAAAAGUAUUAUAGCUAAUGAGAGGAAGAAGUCAAAGUGAAAACUCGCCAAAGGCGCUUUGUGAUUUUCUCAAAAAAAAAUGGGCCAAAGUGAAAACCCGCAAAGGGUGCUUUGAGACCUAAUAAAAAUGGAAAAGGACCAAAGUCAAAAAAAAAAAUGGGCCAAAGUGAAAACCCGCAAAGGGCACUUUCAGACUCAAUAAAAAUAAAAAAGAAAAAAGAAAAAGGAGAGGCCAAGGUGAAAACCCGCAAAAUUUGAGUUGAAAACCCGAAAAGGGUGGCUUAAAUGUUGAUCUAAAGUAGGAAGGUGAUAUUGCUAUACUUUAAUUAACAAGGAAGGGGGUAUGUUGCAUCUUGGGGCAUUGAUAGAGUGCUUCUGAUCUCCUAAAUACAUGUCAAGUUUGAAUUGGUCUUCAGGAAGUUUGUACAGAGAAGCUCAAGUUUGCGAUAUCAAGGGUACCUAAUCUUUAUUUUAUUUCUAAUAAAUUAAGCUAUAUUUGAAAUAAUCUUUCUUUUUCAAGAUGUACAUUCCUAAAUCAAUGGCCAUUCUUGUUCUUUUGAUGAUUUAUUCACGUUAGAGCUCAAAUUCAAUUCCAUUCUUAUCCAUUAUUACUAUUUGAUUGCAAGCAUGUUGCAUUGAAAUAAUGAUGAAUGAACUAGUAAUGUUUUCACAAUAGAAGUUUCGCAUAUUACUCUAGAAGUUUCUAGAUAAUACAAGAACCUGAAACAGGAAUAUUGUUUAGAACACACCAAGCUCAAGGACAUAUUUGAAUAAAUCACUUCUUUGGAUUUCUGUUCAAAUGAUGAUUGAAUAAAAAAGGACAAGAAAGGGGAAAUAAUAUUUUGUAUCCAUACAAAUAUCAAACAUACGCAUCUGGUUAUGACACUCGAGGAGUGAGGUAGCAGAUUGGGCAGGGGAAAAUUCAACUAUGAGUUACAAUGUUUAUGUCUCGGAAAGAAUAGUGGAAGGGACGUUAGAAUUAUAGUGGGGUAAGCUUGCUGAGUAGAAUAUGGUUGUUUCUUUGGGGUACUCUGUCCAGAUGAUGUUUGAGCAAAUACGUCAGUGAUAGCUUAUUAAUGAGCAAUGAGUGAUGAUACCUUAAAAUGGAAUCAUUCUCAUUUCUGCAUAUAUCAUUCAUACCAUAUUUAGUUAGGAGCAUUGGAUUCAUUUCAAUCAUAGCAUCCUAAUUACUUGGCAUAAACAUGCGCAUAUAAAAUAGAGUCUACAGGACAUGUUCCCUCAGAAGACAGUGUAAUGACAUUGGUGAAAUCAGAUCUUAUCUCCCUAAAGUUGCAAUGGAGCAGAUCGAAGAUGGCAAAUCUUAUCUCCAUGUAUCGGCAAUAGAGUGGAUUUAAGCCACCAGCCUUAUCUCUCUGAGGUAACAAGAGAGUAGGUUGAAGAAUCUUCCUGAGGUAGCAAGGAAGCAGACUGGAUGUUGAAGAUCUUAUCUCCCUAAGCAGUAGCGGAGCAGAUCGAAAGAGGUGAAUCUUAUCUCCAUGUAUCAGUAAUGGAGCAGAUUUAAGCCCCAAGAUUUAUUUCCCUGAAGUUGCAGCGGAGCAGAUAAAAAAUGGCGAAUCUUAUCUCUAUGUAUCAGCAAUGGAGUAGAUUUAAGCCACCAGCCUUAUCUCUCUGAGGUAGCAAGAGAGCAGGUUGAAGAAUGAGUCUUAUCUUCCUGAGGUAGCAAGGAAGUAGACUGAAGAUUGAAGAUCUUACCUCCCUAAGCAGUAGCGGAGAAGAUCGAAAGAGGCGAAUCCUAUCUCCAUGUAUCGACAAUGGAGCAGAUUUAAGCCCCAAGAUUUAUAUCCCUAAGCAGUAGGGGAGCAGAUCGAAGAUGGUUAAUCUUAUCUCCAUGUAUCGACAAUGGAGCAGAUUUUACCACUGGCCUUAUCUCUCUGAGGUAGCAAAAGAACAGGUUGAAGAUUGAGUCUUAUCUUUCUGAAGUAGCAAGAAAGUAGACUGAAGAUUGAAGAUCUUAUCUCCCAAAGCAGUAGUGGAGCAGAUCGAAAGAGGCGAAUCGUAUCUCCAUAUAUCGACAACGGAGCAGAUUUUAGCCACUAGCUUUAUCUUUUUGAGGAAGCAAGAGAGUAGAUUGACAAUCGUAGUCUUAUCUUCCUGAGGUAGCAAGGAAGCAGACUGAUUGUAGAUCUUAUCUCCUUGAGAAAACAGACCGAAGUCUACGAUUUUUGGUGGAGUAUAUCCUUGAAGACGGUGAGACUGACUGAGAUUACUUGAAGAAGAAAAGUGUCAAAGAGGACAAGAUUCAGCAAAACAGGGCAAAAUUGGCCCUUUUAAAGUCUUUGCUCUAUUCUCAUUACACGACAAUGAGCAAAGAGGGGUAGCUGUAAUAGGCCCAAUUCGCCCAGCCCAUUAUAAACCAAAAUAAAUAUAAAAAAAUAUAAACAACCCAAAAUAAACCAAUGUCCAUUUACAAGUUAUUUAACCCAAAAAAAUAUAUAUGUAAUAACAGCCCAAUUAUUAAACUAAACUAAACCAAACCCAAAAUUAAAUACUAAAUUAACCAAUAACCCAAAGUCCCAGCUCAUUCAAUACACGACCUAAUUACGAGACUGGCCCAGGUGAUUGCUUUAGAAGCCCUAAGGGUUCUCCCUCUCGCGCCGCAGCCAGUGAUUCAGAUGAGCACCACACGUGCGCCACCAGUCCGUCGCGCGCAUCUCCGCUCGUGCUUUUGUACGGCUUUUCCUACAAAUGGAACAUACAAGAAGGAGAAUAACAGAAUUUACAGCAAAUGACAGCAAUAAAAUGUAAUUUUAUUUUUUAUUUAUUUACUCUGUAAAUCUGGCUAUAAAAAGCUGUCGAAUGUACUUGCAAAUACUUACGCAUACUGAAUGCCAGAAAAGAGUAAUCAAAAAAGAUUAUCAAAAGGUGACCUUCAAUCUGUUAUUGUCCUUCUUCGUUUCUUUUGAUUUACUUGCAACUUUAGUAUAAAAACAUGAAGAGGAAAUACCUGAAUUGACGCCGAUGAGAACCCAAAUAUCUCAAAAGUAUGUAGAUAUGGGCGAGGGUCGAACGGUGUUGAAUUUUUGUUCAUUCUUCAAAUUUUUCUUCGUUUUUUUGAAAGAAUAGUAUAGGAUUUGAGGUUUUUUAAAGGAAAAAGAAAGAGUAAACUUACCAGAUCUCCAUGGUCUCAGCCUCCGUUGGCAAAAUCUGGCCAUCAUUCGCACACCGUCGGCCACUAAGCAUGAUAGUGGUUCGGCGGCUGUAAGCUAAAUGAACCCUAGUAGAGAGGGUAAUAGCU
rnacentral:lncRNA from 1 species